rnacentral:lncRNA from 1 species
GAGAUUUUAGGGUUAGCAAAAUGUAUAUUCUUUGCUCUUGAGGCUUUUUGGUCUUCAUGAUUUCAGAUUUUCUUUGUGUUAAGAGACUUCUUUGUUUGUUUGUUUUAGGAAGAAGAACAAAUGGAUACUCAGAGCAUUAAAACCGAAAACCAGCCAAAACCUGCAGUUUCGACAUCUUGCAGGAAGCAUGUGAAGGAUGAUAAUGCAACUUUCCUUGCAAACCUCAAGGAACACUUCAACGAAUUUGUCAAUGCCUCAAUGGAUGAACACAAGACUUGCUUCAAAAACACCAUGGACAAGGUUUUUUUUCUCAAAUUCUCUCUUAUCUCCUCAGACUCACAUUCUUUGUCAUAUUCAUCUAUCACAUUAACGAUCUUAUGAAUAUCUGUCUAAUGCUAUUGGUUAUUUUUUAGUGUUAAACUGUCUCUUAAACGUAUCUUGUUCCUUUGUCUAGAUAAUGGGGAGGUCGAAUGCAGUUGAAGAGAAGAAGGUUGAGUCUACGGAAGUCAAGAUUCAGGCGCCUCUUCAGGCAGCAGAUUCAUCUUAAAAGUUCUCAACUUGUAGUUGGCUUUUAACCAAAAAAAAAAAAAAUUAAUCCUAUUUUUCUUGUUUAACAUUAGAAGUUGCAGAACAAGUUUCUAUGAUGUGCAAAAAAUAUCUUCAAGUGUUUGGGUGUUAAUAAUAUCUUCGUAAAACCCCGCUUUUUGGUUUUUUUUUUUAUUUUUUAUUUUUUUGACUUCUUGAUUGCCAAUCUUAAAUCAUAAAGGCAAUGGCAUGAAGAACUAUCUUAUACUUGUUGCACUUUUAAAAUUAGACUAGAUUUUAUUUUGUUUUAAUCAAAAUUUAUAAUUUAGUUUAUGUUUUCUUUAUAAAUAUAAUUUUUUAAUAAGUGAUGUAAAAAAAAUUUGUGUUUAGAUAUAUAUUAUUUUAAGUAUUAUUAUGACCACCAUGAUCAUAAAAACAUAAUUUUAACCCAGUUAUUUUAUUAAUCAAAAAGUGACCAUUAUUAUAAAAAUAUAUUUCUAACUCGUUCAUUUUAUUAAUCUGAAAAAGGAUUAUGAAACCAUAAUUCUAACCCGCCCGUUUAUACUAUUUUAGAAUAGAAAUAUUUACUAAUUUUAAAAUAAUUUUCUCUUAAUAUCUUGCAUGCUUUGAUAACCUAACCCGAAUAAAACCAUAAUUAUAAAACUUAUCCUAUCAAAUUAUUAUAUAAUAUUAAUAUUUAUCUAUUUUUAAUAUGUGAAAUUUUAAUCUGAUAGAAUAUGAUUAAAAAAUAUAAUAAAAUAUUUAUCAAUUAUAUAUGUUAUUCGGAAAAUCUUACUUAAAUUUCAAAUGUUAAACUAAAUCUAACCUAUAUUUAAGGAAGUCUAUUUAAAUUAAUAUCUAUAGAUUAUAGAUAUAUCCUAUAUUUAAGAAAAUUUUUAGUUAUUUAAAUUAAUAUUUAAUUUUCGGAAUUAAAUUUAUAUAUAUAAAAAUAUUUUUUUAAAAAAAAAUUUUUGGAAACAAACGAUAAAAGUGUUUCUGUUUUAAUAUAAUAGAUAAAUAUGUAUGUUUAAUUCUCUAUAUUUUACAAACAUGCAUACAGUAAUACCCAGACAUACGUAUAUCGCCGUGGACACAAAUUCGUCUAUACGUACGAUACCGUAUAGUAUCUGCGUUUCAUAAUUGCACCACGUGACCUACUUUGUCGAGUUCGCGCUCAUUUUUUAAUACAAAAACGAUAAGUAUUUGAAAAUUCCUAAAUUUAAAUAAGAAAAGCUAAACACUCGAUCGAUUAUGCAAGGUCGCGAUCAGAAUUGCAGAUAUUUCGAGGUGAGUUCGUCUCGUCUCGUGACCAAACCAAUUAUCAACAUUUACAUUGAAUAAAAAAUACGAUAUUUUCUAAGAACCUUAAAUAGAGAUUGGUUGGUUUGGUUCGUAAACUUCGAGAAUUACUUCUUGUCCGAUUCUGAUGUCUUCUCCAUUAUUGGAUUCUCCGUAAUCUAUAUUUUAUUGGCUUAUGACCUUUGGAUUAUUCCACAAUGAAGAAAGAACCAACAUAUAGUGAUUGGAUUGAUUGAUUCGUUGAUUUCGAGGUUAUUUUUUCUCCUCAUGAUCCGUGACCUUUAAUCCUUGGAAUUUAUUAUUCGUUUCUGCAUAUUCAUUAAUAGACAAUGGGAUUUUUCCAUUAAGAAAAACCAAUAAAAAUACAGAUUGUUUUUUUGGUGGAUUCGAGAGGGCCAUUUUCUCCUAGCUAGAUAGUAACUUCUAAGCUUGCGUGGGAAACAUGAGAAAUAGCAAUACAAAAACUUUAAUUCGUCAGACUUUUGUUGAAACACUGACAAGAACACAAACUGAUGAUCUGCGUGAUUCUCAUUUUUUAUUUUUGACCACCAUACGUUUUGGUGCUUGUUGUUUCACUGCAACCUCAUGCUUCUCAUCCUGCAAAAACAAGUUAAGAGAUUUGAGAAUCUUGUUUAUUUGCAUGUCGAAGGAAUGUAAAAGAGAAAAUCAUUGAAAUUGUAGAAAGCUCUGUAUUUUUUUGUUUGGUUUCUUGAUGAGGGUUUAGGGUUUAGUUUAAUUUUGUUUCUGGAAGUUUCUUGGGCAAGAUGUGGGAAUCAUGACUUAAUGAUAUUUAGAUACCGUAAUACUAAGAGAAGAAAGUAUAACAAGGAAUGAUUCUAGGCAUCUUUUUGUGGGGGCUUUUCAAUGGUUAUUUCAAAGCCUGAGAAGAAAACACUUGGCAGAUUUAGAGACUCCCAUUGUUUAACAUGAGAAUCUUUGUAAAGUAUACAGCUUUAUUUUGAAACAGACAUGCCCUUCUUUUUUCUUUUUAUGUUUGAUUUGGUCUGUCUUGUCAUGAUAUACAAAUAUCUUCAUAGUGGGCUAUUAUAUAUGGAUAACCAAAGCUGAUUAAUUAUAAUUAGCAUAAAAAUGUGUGUUAAACAAUACCUCUUUUCCUCAUCACGCAGCCUGCCUUUGGUGCUGCCUCCAUUACUUUUGUAGUCAGGGAAUGGUACGUGUCCAUUCUCAAUGCUCUCGAUGUCACGCACGAGAAGGUCAUAUUGUCUCUUAGCUUCUUCCGGUGUUUUGCCACCAACAGCUCUAGCAACAUUGUACCAACGGUCAGGGGUGUCUUGGUCAUAGGUUGCUAGAGCACGCUCAAAGGCUUUGUUCUGCUUAACAGUCCAUGAGCCAGAGCCAUAAGAAGACAUUGUGUUUGAUGCCAUUGUGGGAAAAAAAGAAGAGUGUUUCUUUUGUGUAAUAACUUAUAAGAAAUGAUGGUAUGUUGCACAGAUGUCGCAGAGUCCUUGCUCUUUAUAAAGCGAGGUUGAGGUGGGGUAUAGUGCCAGUUGUUAAAGAUAUCUUUGCUUGUCCAAAACAGAUUGAAUUUUUUAAGUCUUUUGUGGAGAAUAUUAUCAAAAAUUGUGGAGAUCAGUAUCAAAGAUCCAAACUAAUUACCCCUCAAUCCACAUUUGGCAUAUGAUGCCCGAUCGGUAGAGAUAUUUUUUUCCUAUAAAUGUUAUAACUAAUAUGUUUACUUUUCUUUCCAAUUAGUGUACUUAUGAUGUCAUUCUCUAGAUUAAGCUUGUAGUCAAAAUUUUGGCCCUUUAACAAAACAAAACAAAACAAAAAAUAGUCAGAAGAAACAGUUUAGGUGAUGUAUCAAAAAGUCUCUCUACCUUUGAUAGUUUUGGUCAUCUACUUCUUGGAACAGUCUGGUCUCUAGUCACAGAACAAAGCUCACGUACCGUGCCUGUAAGACGAGGAAAGUUUUAAGUCUUGGAUAAAAGUUAGGGACAAGUCUCUGUUAACAGAUGAUUUUCACUGACUUAUUAAGAUUUUUGAAACAUUGUGAGGAUUAAUUUGCAUCCACAAAAACAAAACAAAAAAGUGGGCUUUACAUAUAUUCUUCUUGAAGGAAAGUGGGGGCAUGCAGAGCCAUUACCUCGGGAUACUCUCUGUCCUGAACACACCAUAUCAAGCUGUAUAGAUCUUCCGUACAAUCAGUAGAUAUUUUUGUGUUUAAGAGAAAAAGGUCAACAUUGUUUACCUACCUUAUUUGUUUUAUUUUCUUGGCCUGUUGGGUCCAUCUCCUUGAAGUUAGGCAACUGUGUUUUUCUUGGUCAUAUGUUUUAUAAAUGUGAUUCUUGGUCGUUAAUUUGUUAAAUAUUCACCUAUUUUCUUGCUGGAUAUUUAAAUUUGUUUUCUGUUCUUUGGUGAAUUUGGGGAGGAAGAAAAUAUUUACAGCUGCCUAACUCUUGCUGUGAUUUGAUAAUAUUUUUUUAGCUGUAACAUUGUUGUUGUUGUUGUUGUUGGUUGUGGUGGUGAAAUUGUAUCCACUCUUUAUGAGAGCCCAUUAUGAUAAUGGUUUGUUGUCGUAUUAUCAGCACUUUUGUUUCAAAAUGAUCAGUUAAUUACCUUGUUUGGUAAGAAUCCAGGCUUGGGAUGGGCAAAAAUAUUUUUGUCCUGAAACUAAAUUAGGAUGCUUAACUAGGCCAGAUUGUUUCAUUGCUUGUUUUUAAUGUUCUUUUACAACCUAAAAAAGUCACAUCAAAUAAUGCUUAAUUUAUUAAUAGGAGUAUGGUCAGCAAAAAACAAAAAAUUAUAAAUGGUCCAUUUGUCGUUUAAUUUUAACUCAGGAAGGAUAGCAUUUGUUUCAUUCUUGAAAGAUUUGUAGAUUUUCCUUUCUUGCAACACAGGUUGUUCAUAUAUGAUCCGCUUUUGAUUUUAAGUCAAAACAUAGUUUUUCUUGGGUAAAAAAGUCAAAAUAUAGUUGAUCCAUUGGUUUAGAGUCUCAAUCUUAUCCUCUCUCGGAAAUAGGUGCUAUGGGAGAUGGAAGAACAUAAUUUAAUUUGCUCUCUUUCUGGAUAUAUGUCAAUAUAAGCCCUUAUAACAUCUUUUCUUUUUGUGUAUCAAAAAUAUCCACGUUUAUAUUUUGAUAUCUAGUUAUGAUUAUCUAAGUUUCAUGGUAGGCGCGAAACUUCUUAAAGGAAAACUUUAAACCGGAAAGAAAUCUUAAUAACAAUGAGGCUUUUUUGUCACAAUAUAUUCCAAAGAUAAUAUUUUGCAAGUUGCCAAGAAAUUCUGCAAGUAGGCAUUGCACUACUGAUAUUCUCAUUGUCACUAUUCUUCAAAACCGACUCUCUUGCCUAGGUAUUAAAAUGGUAAACGAAAUACAUUAAUUUGGACCUCAGCUUUUGGUAAAUUCUUUAGCUGUAAAAAAAAAAGGGAUACUUGUGAGUGAAGGUAACAGAAAAAUGGUCAAUUGGUUGUUUUGAGAAAGAUGCAUAUUCUGCUUCUUACUUUCUCAGUAUGAAUAGUUACAUCAGUAAAGAUUUGAGGGUUUUAUUCUUAUAUCUCAAAUCUUGAUUUUCACAUCUCUUGAUGUAGAUACCAGCCCCAGUGAUCAUUGCUGAGAAUUUACCCGGAGUAGCUUACAAGGAAUCUGAAUGAAAGGAAGGUAAAGAUAGAGAAUAAGCAUUAUUUCUUUUAUUUGUUACAAAGUUUAUGUUGAAAUCUGGAAUCCUUAUCCCCAAUCUAGCAAAAAAAAAAACAAGAAGUAUUCUUAUUCCUCUCCAAGUGGUUUGCUCCUUUUGCAACUUGGAGAACCCGAACAUGCAUGAAGUAAUCACUUGUUCCUUUAUAAUGGAAGUUUCUGUAGCUCAGUUUGGGAAGUGUGUUCUAAAGUAUCAUUACACAAAACUUCAGGAACUUUCAACCUAGUGGUAGUGGUGAGAUAUUAUUAUCACCAAAAGAAUGAUCCCUUUACAAAUUCGGAUUCGGACAAACUUUACAUAAAAGAAGGAAAUGGCAUUUUAUCGCCAGAAAUCCAAAUAGAGCAUUCCCAUUGAAGGAAAUAGUAUCUAUAUAAACACAAGCCUGGUCCUAAACGGCCACAGUAGCAUGUAAUAUUAUAUAGUAACGUAGAGAUCUUUGCUGUACCUGUUUUUUGUUGUUUAUUGGGAAUCUUUGAAUAAAGAACUUACGAAAAUGGAGAAUCUCCAUGAUCAGGGGUUUUCCAUUGGUUAACAAGAGAAUAUACAGACCCGGACAAAUGUUAAUCUUUGCUUUUGAACAAUUGAUGCUAAUCUUCGUCUUAUAUCUAUCUGAGACAGGGUAAGUGGAAGCAUGCAUUAUUAACAGCAGAGAAUUGUGUUCUUGUGUUGCUUUUUUUUUUUUUUAUCAGUAAACUGUUAUUAUUCGUGUUGAUUUUCUGUUACCAAAAAUUAGUAGCAAUCUAGUACUGUUCAUCAAAGUUUAUAGAAUAAUUUGUUGCUGUUGCUGAACUCAUCAUACCUUUGUUCUAUGUUUGAUCUUGUAUUUGCAGCGUAGUGCCGUAGACUCAAUUUCUACUAAGCCCAAAGACCACAAAGAAAAUGGUUCUCUUCUUUUGCUCUGUUUACCAUAAGUUUUACAACACUAAACUCAUUACUAUAAUUGAAUCCUUUUUUAUGUAAUCUAUAAUCUAUCUGUAAUCUAUCUGUAAUCUAUCUAAUCUUCAAAGCCUAUAGAAAUCCAGGUUUCUUUUGUCCACUUAAGACGUCUAUGUGUGACCAAACACAUGUGUGAUCCACCCUGCCCUCUAAUUACAAGUAUCAACUACUAGACCAUAAAUACUUUACUUAUUACCAUAGGUUACAAGUUUCAACUAUUAGACCACAAAUACUUGGCUAUUACAAGGCUUGUAAAUUAGAGGGCGGGACGUAAACUCUCAACGUUAAAUUGCAAUAUUUGGAUGAUUACAAAAAUACAUUGACUAUAUUCUAUAUAUGUUUCACUCUUAUUCAUGUAGUAAAGCUGCCUUUCAGUUCUUCUGAACUAAUGCAAUAAAGCAAACUUAUACUGUAUAUAUAAGAUUUUUUUUAGUUAAAAAAAUAUCCAGCAGAACAAUAUGAAUCUAAAUGUUGUUAAACUAUAAAUUAACACGCACAAUGUGAAGGGUAAUAUUUUUUAAAAUGUUUUUAAAUUUAAUUUCAAUUUUUUGUUAAAUUAAAAUUAGUGGUAAAAAUCUUUUAAUAAAAAAUAUAAAUAAAAAAAUUGGUGACAAAUAGAUAACAAUAUAUAUGUAAAUAUCACACAACCGAUAUUUACUUGUAUAUAUAUCUAUCGAAUAUGAGUUUGAAUUAGUUUUGUUAUGCAGUUUAAUUAUUAGUAGUUUUAAAUAUGAAAGUGAUAUGAUGUUAAUAUAUAUAUAUACUUAUACACAUACCAACAUAGAUUAGAAUAUAUAUAUCCAUAAAAUAAAAAUUUAAUUUUGAAUAUUUUAUUAGAGAUCAAACUAUCAUAUUUAAUUAAUGAAUUCUAUAACAUGUGUUAUAUUAUCUAAAUGGACAAAUCCAUCUACUUAAUUUAUUUUGCAAUAUACUAAAAUAUUUUGAAAAUAUAUUUCAAGUUUUUUUAUAUAAAAAUAAUUGAAUUGUUUUUCAAAAAUGAUACUAAUUAAUUAUGACAAUGCAAAUGAAAAAUAUUUUAAAAAGUAUAUAAAUAGAUUUUAUAUAUAUAUUGAUUAUUAUUUAAAUAAUAGAGUAUAUUUUAAUAUUUUAAUAAGUAAAGAAACUAAAUAUAUUAUUGAUUUAUAUCUAUAUAUAUUCAAAAUAACUGUAAACUCUAUAUUUAACGAUCUCUUACAGAAGAAUAUUUUAAUUGAGCUUUCAAUAUUUAUAAAGUUUAUUUGUGUAAUACUUUAUAACUAAAAGUUUAUUUAGAUAAUAUCUUAUGAAUAAAUGUUUAUUUAUGUAAAAUAUUUUGUAAUAUUUUAUAAAUAAAUGUUUAUUUAUGUAAAUGUCUACUCAAAUAAUAAUAUAGAGAUAUUUUUAUUUUUGUAUGAUCAUAUCUAUUCUAUUAAAAUAGAAGCACAUUUAGUGCUUGUAUCCAAAUACUCAUAAAGUUUUUUUUAUAAUAUUUAUUUUAUUUUUAUAUUUAAUUUCCGAAAAUUAGUUAUUAAUUUAGAGAUUUUUAUAUUUCCUAAAAUCUAGGUCAUCUUUAAUUUAAAUUUCAAAUUAUUAGAAAUUUAAUUAAAUUUAGUUACAAAAUUUGCAUUCAAAUUAAUUUAAAUUCAAAAAAUUCAAAAAAAAAUUAUAAUUAAAUUUUAUUACGAAAAUUUAGAUAAUAAUUUUAAUACUUUAAAAUUUCUUAAAUACAGGAGAAAUUUAAUUUAAAUUUUUAAUUUAAAUUUUUAAUUUAAAUAAUAUUUUUAUAAAAAUGCAUAAUAAAUAAAUAUUUUAUCAUAAUCAAUUGGUCUAAAAUAUCAAAUAUUUGAGAUUAAUAAAUAUUUAUAUUAUACAAUAAUAUGAUCGAGCUGAUUAGAGUUAUAUAUAUAUAUAUAUAUAUAAAAAUAUAUUUAAGGUCCAUGAGUUAAUUUAUUAAAACAUGUAAGAUAUUAAGAUGAUUUGAGACAAUUAAACUAACAGGUUAGCGAGUUUUUAUAUAUAUAUAUAUACAUAUAUAUAUAUAUAUUAAUAGCGCAAAUAAUAAAUAAAUAUCUUAGUAUAUUUUUUCAUAAUCAAUUGGUCCAAAUAUUCUAUAUUAGUAAAUAUUUAUAGGGUUAUAAAAUUAUAAUUAUAAUCUUAUAUGGGUUAGUUUGUCAAAAUAUAUAAGAUAUUAAAAAUGAUUUAAGACAACUAAACGGAUGGAUUAGCAAAUUCAUAGAUAUAUAGAUUUUAUGUGUAAAUCUAAAUUCACAUAAUAACAAAGUUUAUAAUUAACAUUAGAUCAAUGUAUACUUAAUUAACGCAUACUCUUAUUCUACUAAUAUACAAAUUUUACUGUUUAAAAUUAAAAUAUGAUAAUAAUAUUUUGAUUUAAAAAAUAAAUAACAAAAAAAUUAUAUAUAAACAAAAAAGAUAAAUGCAACUUAUAUUAGAAAUAAAAAAUAAAACAUUCUCGUGCGGACGCACGAGGUUAAAAUCUAAUUUAUUUUGUUUAUAGAUAAAAAUAGUUAAAAUAUAUUUUAUGAUGGAGAGUAAUUAACUAAUUAUCAACAUAACAUGUGCUCCGGUUGUGAAACCCUAGAUUAUGUAAAUUUAUGCGAAAUUCUUAUGGGCCCUCUCGUCUUGGACAUGUGACUAGCCCAGCGAGUUGCACUUAAAACCCCACCAAAAAUUCAUUUCGUUCCAAGAAAAAUACAUAGGGACUUUGUUAGUAUACAUUACAAAACCAACACAACAACCAGUCACUUUUAUUUUAUUUUCUUUUCCUAACUAGUCACUUGAAAAAAACAAAAUGGUUGGUUGUAACUUUGUUCUUCUCCAAAAUUCUAUUACCACUUCCACUUGAAAAAAACAAAAUAGUCCACUACUUUGUUGUUUCACAAAUUGACCCUUCUAUCAGUGAACGGAUAUUUAAUAGACUAUGUUAUUUUGUCUGUCUAGACUCCAACGCUUUUUUGGUAUUUGCAAAUUUUUAUUUAUGAUUCCGUAAAUUUAGAUGCCAACUUCAGAUAAAGUAUAGGGCCGAAAACGAUUUACGCCGCUCCUGCUUGAAUAGAAAAUGCUUUCUUUUGUUUCCAAUUAGUAAUUUAGUAGUAGUGUUUGACCUCUUUACUUUUUAGCGUUGUAUAGUUUAGUUCAUCUAUAGAACUUCUCUAGAGCCUCCAAUCUCUUAAGGAUAUUUUUAGUGUAGCUUCAAAAUUUAUUUGUAUAAAAUAAACAGUUGCAAACAAAACGCGAUAAAAGUGAGCAGUGGUGGAUAAAAAACUAAUCGAUCAAGUAAAGCAACUUGAGCGUUUCAACAGGCCGACUAUAUUCCCGAAUAAUUCGAAUUCUGAUGUUAAUGAUUUUCGUCGAUUUACUUGGGAUUAUUCAAAAUUACGACAUAAAUGUAUAACUGGAUAAGAAAUUGGCCAAGAAGUAAUGAGCGAACGAAAGUGAUUUAACAUUACGUUUCCAGAUAUCAGAUACCUAAUCACGAACUGUCACAUCCAAAAUAGCAAAACCAGAAACAGAGAACCAAAGAUACCACAACCAGAAACCAUAAGCAGAACCAGAACCAGAGAACAGUCACAAUCUCAAAUCCUAAUCUAAUUACCAACCACCACCACCUCCGCCGCUUCCUCCAUAACCACCACCUUCACCACCUCCGUAUCCACCACCCUCGCGUCUGCCACCACCGUAGCUUCCGCCGCCACCACCUCCUCUUGAGGAGUAUCCACCUCCACCACCAGAGUAACCACCCUCGCGUCUUCCGCCGCCACCUCCGUAUCCACCGCCACCACCUCCGUAGCCACCGCCGCCGCUGCGGUAUCCACCGCCACCACCACCACGGCCGCCUCCGCCACCGCUUCCACGUGACUGAGCCUCGUUCACAGUGAUGCUGCGACCAUCGAGCUCCUGUCCGUUCAUUCCCUCAAUGGCGUCUUUCAUGGAUUUCUCAUCCUUGAAAGUGACGAAUCCGAAUCCCCUCGAUCUUCCAGUCUCACGAUCGUUAAUGAUCUGGAAACAUAAAAACGAAACAGAUCAGCCAAAUAAUCCAACACAGACGGACACACAAAUCGAGCCAAAAAAUUUCAAAAAGAAAACGAUCGAUCUCCGGGCUCAUAAAAGCAGGAAGAUGAACGUACCGAUUGGGAAAAACAAGUAACAGAGUAACAAAGAACGAGAGAGAGAGCAUGCAUAGUAACAGUAAUUCGAAUCAAGUAACAGAGAAACACAGAUCGGAACAGAUCCGUCGAGGAUCAGAAUCAUCGGAAUCCCGGAGAGUCCGAUCUCUGCGUGUAACGGACCUUGGAAUCAAUAACGUCGCCGUACUGAGAGAAGGCAGUCUCGAGAGCUCUGUCAUCAGUGGCCCAAGCUAGGCCUCCAACGAAGCACCGGAACUCGACAUCUGCGGACGCCAUUGAAUGAGAGAAAUGAUAGAGAAGAUCUAAAAAAAGAGAAGUGGAGAGAUCUGAGUGAUGAGUGAGGGAGACGAAGAAUCUCUUUAUAAUGGGGCUGAGAUAUUUAACCAAGGUUAGAUAUUUUCUAGGGUUAGAGUCGGUUUUUAAUGAAAUUUGGUUUAACUAUGGUUAAGCGUGUGGUUUAAAAUGGUGGUGGUUGGAGACACCUCACGUGACACUUUUUUGGAUUAAUGCGCAAAUGGAAAGACGAUGCAGGAAAAGAUAUUUUUUCUUUCCGCUUGUUCCAAGAAAAAUAUCUAGUCAGGUAGAAAUAUCUGCUAAAUGAAAUGACAAGUUUACCCCGUAAGUCUCAUCUCGUAUUCAGAUCACUGAGCCGACUGACACUGGGCCGGAAAUUUAUUUUUGGACAUAAGAGAAAAACCUAAUUGGGUCAGAAUCUUAGCCCAGAAUUAAUAUUAGGCCGAAAAUAAACUCAAAAUAUAUAUAUUUGAAAAAAACAAUUGUUGACAGUGGGUUUGAACCCACGCCCUUUCGGACAGGAACCUUAAUCCUGCGCCUUAGACCAACUCGGCCAUAUCAACUUUGAUGUUUUGUUAUAGUAAAUCUUCUUUUUUUUUUAAUUUCCCCUUAUUGUUGAACCUGAGACAUUAUUCCCCUUUAAUUCUUCUGAAGAAUCUGAAGAAUCAAAACUCGAAAGUCUUUCCCAAACCAAGCUUCUGAAAGUUCAUUCCCUUAAUGUGAUAUAUGUCUUCUUGGGUACAAUAAUCAAAAGGAACACUUUGAUUUUAAUAUCAAACGAAAAUAGAGCAUGCUAUGAUUAAGAAGCAAGUCUUCAGAGGUGCAUGCAUUGACCCAAAAUUUAGAUUUGAAUCCCAUUAUUAUUUUCAAUCUAGUAAAACUAACUUCUGAAUUUGUUUGGCUCAUGCAAAAAUCUAUCAUAUUUCUAAUAUUCACAUGGAAGACUAGGGUUUUAACUAUUAAGUAUCGAUUAUCUUCUAAAUUAUCAGUCUCGAAUUAAUAAAAUUCCUCUUCAUUCCUUAAAAAUAUAUCAUUUAUAUGGAAUUUAUUUAUAUACAUUCCUUUUGUUCCUCAUAAAAUACACUAUUUAUAAAAAAAAAAUUUUUUACACACUAUUCCUUAUCAUUUUUUUAUUUUUAGGAAAUUAUAGAACAAAAAUAUUCAUAACCAAAUUUAACAAAAAACAAUAAGAUAUUAUGUAUCUUCAUUCCCUUCCUAUUCAUUCCUAUUAUGUUUUUAUAAUUGCCAAUUAAAGUCUAAAGUAUUAACUAUUUAAGUAUCGAUUAUCUUCUAAACUACCAGUCCGAACUAUAAAAUUAUUUCACUCAUAGAGACAUGUUUGAAACAAUUUAUAUAUUACACUAUUGUACUUACAUAAACAUGGAUCUACAUGUUUGAUUCUCUUAUUAAAAAAACAUGGUAUUUCUCCCUCAGAUUGGAGUUUUGUCGGGAUAAUGUCAUCUUCUUUAGGUGGUUUGCCUUCUUUAACAUGUAAAUCGCCGCUUCUUUCUCUGCUUCUGUUCCUUGGUACCCAAUCCACUCAACUGUUUCGAGACCCGACACAAAACAUUCAGGAACACAACACGGUUGCUCCCACUGAGCUUCGAAAUCUCUGAACAUGCCGCAGUUUAACUGAACAUACCAACAAAAAAAAACGGCAUGUGACCUUUACAUGUUGGAAUCGGUAAUUGUUUAUAAAGAAGUUGGAAUUACCGGCCUAAAGAUUUGUUACAAGGGAUAAUCAAGAUCGUUAUUCGUUACAGUUCUUAUAAAUAGCUGUGUUCAAAUUGUAAUGUCACACGGCUUGCUUUCUCUAUCACAGGCCAGGAGUCAAGACUUUGGAUUGUAAUAGACGUACCUGACUUGUAUAUUGAGAAGAUUGUACUACAUUGAUAAUAAUUUGGUAUAUAUAGACUAUCCCCAUGAAGAUGGUCGAGCAAAACGAAUUGGCUUACUUUAACUGGUUGUUAUGAUCUCAUGGAUAGCCAUUACAAAGACCAAGAAGCUUUAGACAAUUAUUCUACAAAACGUUUUAUUUAUAUCGAAGUCCUCUUCUCAAACUGUUUAAAAAGCCUGGGGAACGGGCAAGACACUUCAGAAGUACAGGGUCCUGCCUGGAGGAGCCUCUUCCACAGUCAAGAAUCGAGAACCACGAUUAUUUCUGUGAGACUCUUCCACAUGGAUGUAUUUACCAUCAAUCUCAAUGCCUUCCAUCAUCAAAACAGCAUAUCUCAUCGAUUCCUCCUCUUUAAAAGUAACAAAACCAUGUCGUAUCGAUUUUCCUGUCCCAGGACGGCAAAUGAUCUACGAAUACAUAGAAAAUCAUGAAAAAACAAUCAAAGCCGACACUUAAUCGUGAAUUGUCAGAUAUCAAAAUGAUUAAUAUACAGAAACAACAACAAAAAAAAAGUAAACAAAUAUACAGUAACCAAAUCCUAAUUAAAGUAGACCUCGCAAUCUGUAACAUCGCCAAACAUGCAAAAUGCUCUUGCAAGACGAGUUGCAUCAGUAUCGCGGUUCAGAUUAUGAACAAAGCAAACAAACCCUUUCGGACCGUGUAAUGGCAUCUCUCAUCGAUUUCUCGUCCUCAAAAGUAACAAAACCAAAUCUUCUCGAUGUUCCAUUCAUAAACGUGAUCUUUUGGAAACAAAUUAAGAUAAACGGUACAGAUCAGUAAAAAGAGUAUCUGACAAAAUGUUCAUGCACAAACGUAAAAUAAUAACUAAAUGUUCAAGGCGUGACUGACUUCAGAUUUGAUAACGUUGCCAAACUUUGAAAAGACUCUCUUCAGAUCAUUUGCAUCCGUUUCUCUGUCCACCGAGAACUAAGCACCUGAACUCAGAAUCUGCUGAAGCCAUUUGAAAAAAAAAAAACGACUAAUCAGGGUUUCUAUGUAGAAUAAGGAGAAACUUGUAAAAAAAUGUUGUGAGAAGUUGAAUUCAAUUUAUAGAAAAGGGGAGAGGAUUAGGGUUUUGGAUUUUUUUUUAAUAUGUUAAUUACGAUUUAAUCUUUAAAUUUGACCCCAAAAAAAAUGAAUUACAGUUACGGUGAGUUUUAUGAUAGAGGAGAGGAAACUGUUUAGCAAAUCGUGGAAUCGUGGAUUUUGAUGAGAUAAUAUAGGAUUUUUAAAAUGAUAGUUUUUGGUUUUUAACGUUUAAAUUAUUUUUUUACUCAACCACAUGUCACCAUGUCAUUGGUGAAGUGACUCGUGAUUAUGUAUAAUAAAGAUAUUAGAUUUUAACCCCGUGCGUCCGCACGAGAAUGUUUGAUUUUUUAUUUCUAAUAUAAGUUGCAUUUAUCAUUUUUGUUUAGAUAUAAUUUAUUUUUGUUAUUUAUUUUUUUUAAUCAAAAAAUUGUUAUUAUAUUUUAAUUUUAAACAGUAAAAUUUGUAUAUUAGUAGAAUAAGAGUAUAUGUUAAUUAAGUAUACAUUGAUCUAAUGUUAAUUAUAAACUUUGUUAUUAUGUAAAUUUAGAUUUACACAUAAACAAUCUAUAUAUCUAUGAAUUUGUUAAUCCAUCCGUUUAGUUGUCUUAAAUCAUUUUUAAUAACUUACAUGUUUUGACAAACUAACCCGUAUAAGACUAUAAUUAUAAUUGUAUAACCCUAUAAAUAUUUACUAAUAUGGAAUAUUUGGACCAAUUGAUUAUGAAAAUAUAUAAAAAGAUAUUUAUUUACUAUUUGUGCUAUUAAAAAAAAAAAAUAUAUAUAUUAACCUGUUAGUUUAAUUGUCUCAAAUCAUCUUAAUAUCUUACAUGUUUUAAUAAAUUAACUCAUGAACCUUAAAUAUAUAUAUAUAUAUAUAUAUAACUCUAAUAAGCUCGAUCAUAUUAUUGUAUAAUAGAAAUAUUUAUUAAUCUCAAAUAUUUAAUAUUUUAGAUUGAUUGUUUAUGAUAAAAUACGAUAAAAUAUUUAUUUACUAUGCAUUUUUAUAAAAAUAUUAUUUAAAUUUAAAUUUUAAAAUUAAAUCUUUUCUGUUUUUAAGAAAUUAUAAAGUACUAAAAUUACUAUCUAAAUUUUGUAAUAAAAUUUAAUUAUAUUUUUUUGAAUUUUUUGAAUUUAAAUUAAAUUGAACGCAAAUUUUUGUAACUAAAUUUAAUUAAAUUGAAAUUUAAAUUAAAGAUGACCUAGAUUUUAGAAAAUCUAAAAAUAUCUAAACUAAUAACUAAUUUUCGGAAAUUAAAUAUAAAAAUAAAAUAAAAUAUUAUAAAAAAAACUUUGGAAGUGUUUGGAUGCAAGUACUAAAUGUGCUUCUGUUUUAAUAGAAUAGAUAGAUGCAUGGACAAUCUUUUUUCUUAAAGCUCUCUAUGUGUUAUACAUAAUUUCCUUGGUAUCUCAGAUGAUCAAGAUCUAACAAUUCGUACUACGAUAGAAGAAAAUGAUCCCAUAUCUCUUAGCCGUUUCAUUUUUAUUGUGCGUGAUAUCCCCACUCUUUACAGUAUCAAAUUAACAAAAAGUUACUAUAAAAGACUAGUUUGCAACUUGUACCGUACAAGUUGUACGUCACGUUUAGAGACGUUUGACUCAAUUUCAUAGCUUUCUCGAUUGCUGUGAACUUCUUAAUGUUAACUUGUGAACCAGAAUCAGGUUAUUGAACCUAAACCAAGAUUUAUAUGAACCCGUAAUUGUUAAUAUAGAAGUUGGAAUCGGUCUAAAGUUUUGUUACAGGGAAUAAUUAAUGAAGAGAUCGUUAUUCGUUAACAAUUCUUAUAAUUAAAUAGCGUUGUCACAUCACAUAAAUAAUCUUCUAAUAAAUAAUUAAUACUUGAUUCAAAGCACCACGUCCCAAACAAUCACAUAGUGAUAUAUUAUAAAGGGGAGCCUAGAAGCUUAUUAUAUAAUUCUAUUAUAUAUAUAUAUCUUAUGAAACAUUGUCAAAUAUAUAUAUAUAUAUCUUAUGAAACUUGGGUUCAUGCCUUCUUCUUCUUUGGACCAACACCGUGACGACGACAACUUUUGCGAGACGAGUAAGCCUGUUCCACAGUUAUGGUUGUGUAUGGCGGGGCGAGCUUAUGAGUACCGUUCAUUCCGUUAAUAGCAUCCCUCAUGGAUUUCUCGUCUUUGAAAGUAACAAAUCCAUAUGCCAUUGAAUGAUCUUCAUCAUACUCAGAUGGAUAAACGACCUAUGAAACAAUGACUAACAUAAUUCAGAAUAAUUGUUAUAAAAAAAAAAAUCAAUACGUCGCCUAACUGGAUUUAUUAAUGAAAAAAAAAUGAAAAAACCAACAUAAGUUCCUAUAACGUCGCCAAACCGAGAAAACGCAUUCUUGCGAACAUAGCACUUGUAUUCAACAUCUUCGGACGCCAUUUUUGAAAGAUGCAGAUUGAUGAGGACAAUUUAUAUAAAAGAUUAUUUAUGUGGUUAUAAAUGCUAUCGAAUCUAAAAACUUUUAGAAACAAGCGUCUUUUUUCUUUCUUUGAAACUAGUUUUCCCUAGUUCCCAAACUUUCUAGAUAUUUUAUCUAAAUCUCAGUGUUUUUUUUUUUUCUGGUACAACUAAAAUGUGAAAACCAUUACUAGUAAAUUGAUUUUAUUGGAAAGUAGGAGUAUAUGUUUCCAAUAAAAGUCAAUUUGUUUUCUUGCUUAAGCUGUUAGUUUCAGUUUAUACUCCCUCCAUUUCACAAAGAGUGUCAUUUUGACACUUUAUGUUUGUUUCAAAAAGAAUGUCGUUUUAGAAUUUCAAUGUAAUUUUUAACAUAAAAUAUCAUUUUUAACCUCAAUAAAUUCAGAAAAUUAAUUAUAAAUAUGAUUCCAAAAGUCAUUUUCUACAAAUUAAUAAGGGUAUAAAAGACUUUUUAUCUUAUUUCUUAAUUUGUGUGAAGAUUGUCAGAACGACACUCUUUGUGAAACGGAGGGAGUACUAUUUUUUACCUACCACAACAAUUCAAUAAUAUCACUCAAAAUUUCUCAGUGAUUUGCUUAUGAAAUGCACUAUUGAAUGAUGAUGAAUACAAAAUUCUAACGAAACUCUUGUUGAAAUGCAUCUUUACAUUAUAAAGGUGCACUAAGCUACUAACGAAACUCUUGUCUCACUAUUGCUACUUUUUUCUGUUAAUUUGCAUUUGGAUAUAUAAUUCCUCUGGACAUCUGCAAGUGAGCACAGUUAGAUAAACACAAAACGCUAAUGUGCUUCUACUAUAUUUAAAUCUUGGUUUAGAGAUGAGUAGUUACUCUGGGAGCGAAACAAACCGGUUUAGUUAUAACCUGCGGUUGUCAUUAGGCUUGAAUUUUUCAGGAAUUGGGACGGGAAUUGACAGGUAAAGGAUGGGAAUUGAAAUUUUGGGAAUCUGAAUAUAUUACCCAAAAUAUUCCCACAAAAUAACGAGAGGGAAAUUUACGGGUAUGGGAUGGAAACGGGAAAUUCGAAAAUCAAAACACACUAUCCAUACAAUCCCAAAAUAAAAUAUAAUCAGGAAAAGGACGGGAAAGGAACAGGAAAGGGACGGGAAAAAUUUCGGAUAAUUCGGAUAAUUAAACUAAAAUCAAUUUUGUUUUUUUUUUUUAAAUUAUUAUUUGUUAAUAAAUUGGAAAAAUCAUUAUUUAUUAUAAAAAAAAUUUCAGUUAACCAAAAUCUCUAAAAUUUCACUUUAUAUAAUUACCCAACGGGAAGUUCGGGUAAUCCCAUUCCCGUCCCUACCCUUUUCCUUACCCAUUCAAAUAUUAUUUUCAAACCCAAAUGGGAAAUUACAAUUUCCCUUUUUCGAAAAGUUUGGGAAUUUCGGGACGGAUACGUUUCGGGACGGGUUACCCUUCCCGAAAAAUUCAGGCUUAGUUGUGACCUUGUGCGUAAUAUAGAUACUCACUUUUUACAGUAUCAAAUUAACAAAAAUUAUACUAAAAGCCUAGUUUGCAACUAAUAUCGACUUUGGCUCAAGAACAGGAUUUAAUAAAACUCUCUUUUAUUAAAUUUUAGGAAACUCUCUCAAAACCUAAAGAUCCAAAACACAAAACUCAUAAGUUAUUAACGACGACCCUACGACUGCGGAAAAUCAGUCGCCAAAAUGUCGCUAAAUAGUGAUUGCGAAUGUCGUCACUUCUUAGUCGCUAUCUAACGACGGAUUAGCGACUAAUAUGUAGUCACGAUUAAUCAGUCGCUAAAACGUCGAUAAAGUUGCAACUAAUUUGCGACAUAUGCGGCGAGUCGGUAUUAUUUAACACGUGUAAUACGUUUUAGGGUGGUUGUACCGGUUUUUCGCGACGAACCGUUGGCAGUCGCAAUAUAGUGACAAAACAGUCGCAUAUUAGUCGCAAAAUUUUCUAUAUAUUGAGAUCCCAUCUACGUUCCACUUCAUUAGUAUGCUUGCUAUCAUUUUGGUAGUUACUUUAUAAAAUUCCUUUAGCUGUAAGAAAUAUUUCUUACAAAAAAGGUGAAAAAAGAGUUAAGAAAAAAAAAACUCUUAUAAUAGAAAGAGAGUUAUAAUUUUAAUUAUAAUAAUUUUAGAGCUUGGAUGUAUAACCGAAUCGAUGAAAAGACGGGUAAUUUUUCGAAUGCGUUUAUAGAAGGAGUGGAGCAAUUCAUGAAUUUUGCAAAUAAUCAGACUAUAACACAAAGCAAUUGUGGUAAAUUUUUCUGCCCUUGUAGUGUAUGCAAUAAAACAAGUUUUUGUUGGGGAGUAAGAUUUGGAAUCAUCUAUACAGUAAAGGGUUCAUGCCAGAUUAUUAUGUUUGGUAUAAGCAUAGGGAAGAAAUAACUAUGGAUUAUGGAACUAGUUAUAAUAACAGUCAUCUAAGUGGGAGUGAAGAAAAAAUGGAUAAUAUAGCUGAAGAUAGAUAUGUGGAUAUGGUGAAUGAUGCAUUUUGUGAUAAUUUUCGUCAAGAUGAUAGCUAUUGUCUAGAUGAGAGUAAUGAAAAUGUAGAAGAACCUGUACGUAAUCAUCCCAAAAAUUUUUACGACUUGUUAGAAGCUGGGAAAAAACCAUUAUACGAUGGUUGUCAUGAAGGGCAUUCACAGUUAUCUUUAGCUGCUCGGUUCAUGCAAAAUAAGAUAGAUUAUAAUAUGAGUGAAAAAUGUAUGGAUUCAUGGGCCGCAUUGUUUACUGAGUAUUUACCAGAUGGAAAUCAAGCAACCAGUUCUCAUUACGAGACAGAGAAAUUGAUGGGAAACCUAGGCCUUCCUUUUCAUAAAAUUGAUGUUUGUAUCAACAAUUGUAUGAUCUUCUGGAAAGAGGACGAACAUUGGGAGAACUGUAAAUUUUGUCAAGCACCAAGAUAUAAGCAAGUCAAGGAAGGACGGCGAUCAAGAACCAGAAUACCAUAUAGUCGUAUGUGGUAUCUACCUAUAGCUGAUAGAUUAAAGAGAAUGUAUCAGAGCGAGAAGACAGCAGCGGCUAUGAGAUGGCAUGCUGAACACCAAGCCAAGGAUGGAGAAAUGUCACAUCCCUCUGAUGCUGCUGAGUGGAAAUAUUUUCAAGAUCUACAUCCUCAGUUUGCUGAAGAACCCCGAAAUGUUUAUCUUGGAUUAUGUACAGAUGGGUUUAAUCCAUUUGGCAUGUCUCGUAAUCAUUCUUUAUGGCCUGUGAUUUUGACCCCAUAUAAUUUACCUCCUGGUAUGUGCAUGAGGACAGAGUAUUUGUUCCUGACGAUAUUGAAUUCAGGGCCAAAUCAUCCACGAGCCAGUCUUGAUAUAUUCCUCCGACCUCUUAUUGAUGAGUUAAAAGAUCUAUGGUCUACUGGAGUGAAUGCAUAUGAUGUGUCCCUGAAACAAAACUUUAAUUUAAAAGCUGUGCUGCUGUGGACGAUAAGUGACUUUCCAGCAUACGGUAUGUUAUCAGGAUGGACUACUCAUGGUAAAUUGUCUUGUCCAAUUUGCAUGGAAGAUACAAAGGCUUUUUAUCUCCCUAAUGGAAGGAAGACAUGUUGGUUUGAUUGUCACAGAAGGUUUCUUCCACAAGAUCAUCCAUUAAGAAAAAAUAAAAAAGACUUUUUGAAGGGUAAAGGCAUGAGUGACUACCCACCAGAGUCUUUGACUGCUGAGCAAAUAUAUUCUGAGCGGAUAGAAUCUGUGAAUCCUGGUAGAACAUUUGAGUGCGGUGGAAAUGGUCAUGAAAAAAAGAAGGCUGGAUAUGGUAAGUGGCACAACUGGCACAAAGAAAGUAGUUUCUGGGAGUUGUCGUACUGGAGGGACCUUAAUCUCCGGCAUAAUCUUGAUGUGAUGCAUAUAGAAUAAGGCUAAAACGUGGCCCAUCUACUUCACUAGGGGAUACUUGUUUCAUACGCAGAAGCAUGGUGUGGACCGAAAAACCUGUAACUAUGGGAUAUGUGUGAAAGGAGAAAAUUAUACGGAUACAUCUGAUGAAGCCGAUUUCUAUGGAAUCUUAACUGAUAUCAUACAACUCGAGUACGAGGGAAUGGUAAAUUUGAAAAUCACACUUUUUAAAUGUAAUUGGUAUGACCCUGUUAUUGAUAGAGGCACACGAAGAAACAAUGGUGGCGUCACUGACGCUAAUUCAUCAAGAAGAUACAAUAAGUACGAACCAUUUAUCCUAGGUAUGUUGAUAUAUAUAUAUAUAUAUAUAUAUAUAUACUUAAAAUAUAUAUGUUUUUUUGUUGAAAGAAUCUUUUUAUUUUGCUGAUCUUCCACAGCUUCUCAAGCUGACCAAGUUUGUUAUAUUCCCUAUCCAUACCGAAAGAAACCGAAGCAAUUGUGGUUGAACGUGGUAAAAGUAAAUCCAAGAGGAAACAUUAAUGGAGAUUAUGAAGAGAAAGAACCAACUCUUUUACAACAAGUAAAUGAUGAUGAUAUAAUGCUGACUACAAUUGAGGAUCUUGUGGUCGAUAAUCGAGUACUCGGAGUAAACUCCAUAAAUCUUGAUUUUGAUGUUGAAGAUGCAGAACCAGCUGAUGAAUUUCAGUGUAACUUAUCAUCCUCAGAUGAUGAUGAAGAUGAAGAUGAACCUUACUAAUUAUUUUGUUUAAACUAGUUGAUAAUAUGAUGAAGAUUAAGAUGAACAUUACCAAUUUCAUUUUUUUAAAAAUUGUUUAAAUCAUUUGAUAUUAGUUGAUAUUAUCAAUUUAACUAAAUCAAAAUUAAACCAGAUUAAGAUUAAUCUUAAAACCAAAUUAAACCAUAAAACUAAACCAUAUCAAACCAGAUUAAAAUUUAGUUAACCCAUAAAACCUAAUUAAACCAUACUUAACCAAAAUUAACUCACUAACCCUAAAUUAACCCGAAGCCCACUAACUAAAUCCUAAGCCCACUAACUAAAAUUAACCCACUAACCCUAAAUUAACCCGAAGCCCACUAACUAAAUCCUAAGGCCACUAACACUUAACAAAAUUUCUUCUUCCCUCUAGUCGAUCUAAACGACUAAACCCUAAUUCCUCUUUCUCUUCUCUCGAUCAUUCCGCCUCUUCUCUCACACCGAUUCUCUCUUCUCAACCUGUUUUUCGAUUCUAAGUUCUAACCCACACCGAUUCUCUCUUAUCUUCACUCUUUCUCUCUUCUCCACCGAUCCGAAACCCACAAACCGAUGGUUACUCGUCGUUCGAAGAAAGGAAGAGGAGGUGGAAAGGCAUCGACUGCAAAGACGCCUCUCCCAAGUCGAUACGCCUUCACUCUGUCGCCGUCUAACCAGUCUCCACCACCGCUUCAACCGGAGAGGGCACCGUCGAUCUCGGUGAGAGAUUAUCCACCACCGACGCAUCUGUUCCAGAACCGCAGCCAACAUCAAAACUCUUCUCCGCCGCUUAAUGCUCCGUCGACUCAACCGCCUCAACCCCGAAGCUCCCAUAACUCCGAACACCGACCAGCCGCAAUCUCUGAAGAAGAAACAUCUCCGCAUGCUGAAGGGACUUACUCGCACUCCCAUGAAGGCCACAACGACAGUGAAGAAGCUCUAUUCAGCCCCGAUCUCGCUCCUGACCAUCAGAGAAUCCUGAACGCUUUGCUUACACAACCAGGAAGGGAAGCUUUCACCACAGUCCUAUCUCCUUUACCGAAGCCUAAUACAACAUGGUAAUGCUUUCAUUUUCAGCUUGUAUUGCUUAGUUUAGUUGUUUACGUUUGAACUUGAUUGGGUGUGGAACUCGGAUUAGGUUUCAAUAUGGUAUGCGACUUCAUUGCUUAGUUUACAAAUUUAGGUUUGGAACUUGAUUUUAGGUGUUGUAUGCGAAUUCGUUGCUUAGAUUAGGUAACAAUUAUGUAUGUUUUGAUAACUGGUAACUUGUUUGUAUCUGAAUUUGUAGGUUUGGUCGGGACAAAUCUAAACUUACCCGAAAGAUCACCAAGAUCUUUACAAACAAGUUCGACGGUCCCUUUUACAGCUGGACCUGUGUGCCUCGAGAGAGACAAGAACGGUACUUCAUUGAAUUUGCGGUAAGUAUUUCAUUCUUAUUCUCAUUUGUUUCUUUGAUGAUUUUCAGUCAUUUUAGGCAUUUGAAGCAAUUGUUUGUUUGAGUCGUUUGAGUUAUUUAUAGCAAUUUUUUGUUUGCUUCAUUUGAAGUUAUUGAGGCAUUUCAUUCUUUGAGUUAGUUGAGGCAUUAGAUUAGAUGUUUCUUAGUUUAGGCUCGCUUAAAAGAUCUUCUACUCAUUUGAUUCAUUUGAGGCAUUUGAGGCAUUUGUGGCAUAAGACUUCAUCGUUUCUUCUCCUUUGAUUAAUUUGACUUGUUUUUUUCACUUGCUAAUACCAUUUUCUAUGUUUCUAAUGUAGAAAACACACACUUGGGAUCCAUUAGUAACCGGUGUUGUCCAAGAAAAGUUUGAGAGCAUUUGUCUCAAUCGGAUGAAGGAUAUGGUGAGCAAGGCAAGGACUACUCGGGAGCAGCCCAACUGGAUUGGCGACACUCUCUGGAAACAAAUGAAUGAAUACUGGAACACUGAAGAAGCCAAGGAAAAGAGUGCCACUACAUCAGCUGCAAGGAUGUCUGAACGUGAUGGUCUUGGACCUCAUGUCCACUUCUCAGGCCAGAAGUCGUACAUACAAAUCCAACAAGAGAUGGUUAGUUCUCUUCCCUUUUCAUUCAUCACUUAUGUCUAUACAUCUUUAAACUCUUUUGUUUGACUUUUUUUUUCAUUGCAGGAAGAAGAACUUGGAAGGCCGGUGAGUCUUGGUGAAGUUUUCAUCAAGACUCAUACAAAAUCGGAUGGCACUUUUGUAGACCGAAAGUCCAAGACGGUGGCUGAAGCGUAUAAGAAGAAACUGGAAGAAAAGAUGGCUGAUCUUGGGGUAGACUCCGAGACUUCAGAUGGUACAUCACCGCCUGUGGUGCUGUCCGUAGAAGAGGAAAAUGAACUCUUUCUUCAGGUAAAUACUUUUUUUACAUUGUCUUUUAUGAUAUGCUUUUAUUCUUUGGAUUUUGACAGUUCUGUUAUUCUAAUACUGUUUUGCAGGCGACUUUCACAAAUGAAAGAGGCAUUCCUUAUGGAAUUGGAAGCCUCUCACAAACGACUGGAAAAAGGAAGUACCCAGGAACCUCGGCAACAUACAAGGGUCUCGAGGAGCAGCUUCAAGAAGCUCAACGCCUAAUAGAAGAACAAGCAGAUCAGAACUCAAGGCGUGAGGCAGAGCUUCUCAAAGUUUCUGCUGAGCAACAAGCCAGAAUCGACAAGUUAGCUCUGGUGGAAAGGUACUUGACUCAAACUGAUCCAGGGUUCUUAGAUUUUGUGGCUGCAAAUAAAGUUUCAAGUAAUCCAAUGCCUUCACCUAAUCACUCUACAACUCCCUAGGUUCUGGUUGGCCUCUGUUUUUCUUUGCUCCUUUAUUCUCUUUAAGAACUUAUCACAAUGAUAUGCUAUGUAUUAUUUGGGUAUUUUGAUCACAAUGUUUUGGAACAAUGUCUAUUUUGGUAUUUUGGAACAAUGCCUAUGUUUAAUGUAAUAUAUAUUUGCUUUUACAAGUUCUUCUAAUUAUUUGAUUUCGAGUUUAGCUUUUUGGUGUAAUGAACAAAUUUGAUCAAAUGAAAAUAGGAAAUAUAAUGGAUUACCAAACCUGAAUCCGUUUGAUCUAUGUAGUCGCAAAUUCGUCACAACUUCGUCGUAAAGUAGUCACGACUUCGUCGGAAAUCAGUCGCUAAACCAUAACAAAACAUCACGUUUUUGGUGAUAUCAGUCUUCAAACAGUCGCUAAAGUGAAAGCAAAGUAGUCGUGAUUCAGUCGUUAUAUACUGCGACUAUUUCGCGACUGAAUUUUCACGACCACUAAGCAGUCGCAAAAUGGUCACAAAGUUCGCAACUAAUUAGCGACUGAAUUUACACGACGUUCCGACGACCGAAUCAAAAGUCGCUAAUUAGUCACAACUGCAGUCACUUAUUAGUCGUUAAAUUAACUACUAAGUGCCGACUAUUUAACGACUGAAUGACGUAGUCGUUAAGUAGUCGCGAAUUAGUCAUUAGUUUGCGACUGAUUAGCGACUCUUUAUUUUAGCGACGUUAAAUUAACGACUAAUUUGUUUAGUCGCUACUCAGUCGCAAAACCACUUAUAGCGACUGAUUUGCGAUUGAUUUGUUCGUCGCUGAAAACCUGUUUUCUUGUAGUGAGGAUUUAAUAAAACUCUCUUUUAUUAAAUUUUAGGAAACUCUCUCAAAACCUAAAGAUCCAAAACACAAAACUCAUAAGUUAUGCCACACAUUGGCAUCUCCUUAUAUAGAUGUUUAGCUACUCCUAAACUUAAUGGAAUUAGAUAACUCCUAAUUUCCUUUUUCCUAACCUUAACACUUUUAGGAAACAUUACUUAAAGAUAAUCUAGAACAAUCUAGAAGCUUGCUCUUCAAGCUUUUCUCAAGCUUACUCCAACAAUCUCCCUCUUAAGCUUGAAGUCUUCUUUGAUCAUCUCUUUAACUCCAAUGAAGUUUCUCAUUUCUUUAAACUUGAUCCUUCCAAGUGCUUUAGUCAGAAUAUCAGCUUUCCUGUGGUUGUGAUCUUGUGCGUGAUAUCCCCACUCUUUACAGUAUCAAAUUAACAAAAGUUACUAUAAAAGACUAGUUUGCAACUUGUACCGUACAAGUUGUACGUCACGUUUAGAGACGUUUGACUCAAUUUCAUAGCUUUCUCGAUUGCUGUGAACUUCUUAAUGUUAACUUGUGAACCAGAAUCAGGUUAUUGAACCUAAACCAAGAUUUAUAUGAACCCGUAAUUGUUAAUAUAGAAGUUGGAAUCGGUCUAAAGUUUUGUUACAGGGAAUAAUUAAUGAAGAGAUCGUUAUUCGUUAACAAUUCUUAUAAUUAAAUAGCGUUGUCACAUCACAUAAAUAAUCUUCUAAUAAAUAAUUAAUACUUGAUUCAAAGCACCACGUCCCAAACAAUCACAUAGUGAUAUAUUAUAAAGGGGAGCCUAGAAGCUUAUUAUAUAAUUCUAUUAUAUAUAUAUAUCUUAUGAAACAUUGUCAAAUAUAUAUAUAUAUAUCUUAUGAAACUUGGGUUCAUGCCUUCUUCUUCUUUGGACCAACACCGUGACGACGACAACUUUUGCGAGACGAGUAAGCCUGUUCCACAGUUAUGGUUGUGUAUGGCGGGGCGAGCUUAUGAGUACCGUUCAUUCCGUUAAUAGCAUCCCUCAUGGAUUUCUCGUCUUUGAAAGUAACAAAUCCAUAUGCCAUUGAAUGAUCUUCAUCAUACUCAGAUGGAUAAACGACCUAUGAAACAAUGACUAACAUAAUUCAGAAUAAUUGUUAACAAAAAAAAAUCAAUACGUCGCCUAACUGGAUUUAUUAAUGAAAAAAAAAUGAAAAAACCAACAUAAGUUCCUAUAACGUCGCCAAACCGAGAAAACACAUUCUCAAGAUCAUCUUCUUCCGUGUCCACGUCUAAAUUGCGAACAUAGCACUUGUAUUCAACAUCUUCGGACGCCAUUUUUGAAAGAUGCAGAUUGAUGAGGACAAUUUAUAUAAAAGAUUAUUUAUGUGGUUAUAAAUGCUAUCGAAUCUAAAACUUUUAGAAACAAGCGUCUUUUUUCUUUCCUUGAAACUAGUUUUCCCUAGUUCCCAAACUUUCUAGAUAUUUUAUCUAAAUCUCAGUGUUUUUUUUUCCGGUACAACUAAAAUGUGAAAACCAUUACUAGUAAAUUGAUUUUAUUGGAAAGUAGGAGUAUUUGUUUCCAAUAAAAUUCAAUUUGUUUUCUUGCUUAAGCUGUCAGUUUCAGUUUAUACUAUUUUUUACCUACCACAACAAUUCAAUAAUAUCACUCAAUUUGCUUAUGAAAUGCACUAUUGAUAUGAUGAUGAAUACAAAAUUCUAACGAAACUCUUGUUGAAAUGCAUCUUUACAUUAUAAAGGUGCACUAAGCUACUAACGAAACUCUUGUCUCACUAUUGUUACUUUUUUCUGUUAAUUUGCAUUUGGAUAUAUAAUUCCUCUGGACAUCUGCAAGUGAGCACAGUUAGAUAAACACAAAACGCUAAUGUGCUUCUACUAUAUUUAAAUCUUGGUUUAGAGAUGAGUAGUUACUUUGGGAGCGAAACAAACCGGUUUAGUUAUAACCUGUGGUUGUGACUAGGCCUGAAUUUUUCGGGAAUUAGAACGGGAAUUGACAGGUAAAGGAUGGGAAUUGAAAUUUCGGGAAUCUAAAUAUAUUACCCAAAAUAUUCCCACAAAAUAACGAGAGGGAAAUUUACGGGUAUGGGAUGGAAAUGGGAAAUUCGAAAAUCAAAACAUACUAUCCAUACAAUCCCAAAAUAAAAUAUAAUCAGGAAAAGAACAGGAAAGGAACAGGAAAGGGACGGGAAAAAUUUCGGAUAAUUCGGAUAAUUAAACUAAAAUCAAUUUUGUUUUUUUUUUUUAAAUUAUUAUUUGUUAAUAAAUUGGAAAAAUCAUUAUUUAUUAUAAAAAAAAUUUCAGUUAACCAAAAUCUCUAAAAUUUCACUUUAUAUAAUUACCCAACGGGAAGUUCGGGUAAUCCCAUUCCCGUCCCUACCCUUUUCCUUACCCAUUCAAAUAUUAUUUUCAAACCCAAAUGGGAAAUUACAAUUUCCCUUUUUCGAAAAGUUUGGGAAUUUCGGGACGGAUACGUUUCGGGACGGGUUACCCUUCCCGAAAAAUUCAGGCUUAGUUGUGACCUUGUGCGUAAUAUAGAUACUCACUUUUUACAGUAUCAAAUUAACAAAAAUUAUACUAAAAGCCUAGUUUGCAACUAAUAUCGACUUUGGCUCAAGAACAGGAUUUAAUAAAACUCUCUUUUAUUAAAUUUUAGGAAACUCUCUCAAAACCUAAAGAUCCAAAACACAAAACUCAUAAGUUAUGCCACACAUUGGCAUCUCCUUAUAUAGAUGUUUAGCUACUCCUAAACUUAAUGGAAUUAGAUAACUCCUAAUUUCCUUUUUCCUAACCUUAACACUUUUAGGAAACAUUACUUAAAGAUAAUCUAGAACAAUCUAGAAGCUUGCUCUUCAAGCUUCUCUCAAGCUUACUCCAACAAUCUCCCUCUUAAGCUUGAAGUCUUCUUUGAUCAUCUCUUUAACUCCAGUGAAGUUUCUCAUUUCUUUAAACUUGAUCCUUCCAAGUGCUUUAGUCAGAAUAUCAGCUUUCUGUUCUGUUUCCGGAACAUGCUCAACCAAUAUUUGCUCAUUCUCGACACACUCUCUAAUGAAAUGAUAUCUUUUGUGUAUGUGUUUACUUCUGCCAUGAAACAUUGGAUUCUUUGUCAAUGCAAUUGCAGACCUGUUGUCAAUUCGAACCAAAGCUCUUUCACAUCCUGAUCCAAUGACUUCACCGAGUAACUCCUGCAGCCAAAUCGCUUGUUUUGCAGCUUCUGUAGCUGCCAUAAACUCAGCUUCACAAGAAGAUAAUGCCACUAUCUCUUGCUUUUGAGAACACCAGGUUAUUGGACAUUCAUUGAGAUAAAAGAUAUGACCAGAAGUACUCUUGCCAUCAUCCAAAUCAACAUUGUGACUACUGUCACUGUAUCCGAUCAAACCAGAUAAACUGCUUUUCGAAAACUUCAAUCCAUAACUCAAAGUUCCUCGAAGAUACCUUAGUACUUGUUUGAGUGCUAUUCCAUGAGAUUCUUUAGGCUCCUGCAUGUAUCGACUUAGCACUCCAACAGCAUAAGAAAGAUCAGGUCGCGUAUGAAGCAAGUAUCGAAGACAGCCUAUAUUUCUCCUAUACUUCUUCUCAUCGAUUGCUCGUUCUUCUUGUGCUUUGCAUAGCUUUAAACCAGAGUCCAUUGGAACGUGUACAGCAUUACAUUCAUCCAAGCCAUUCUCUUCGAGAAUUCUUCUUGCAUAUCUCUCUUGAUUUAAUGUGAUGCAUCCUCUUUGUUGUCCUACUUCGAUCCCAAGAUAGUAGGUUAACCUUCCAAGGUCACUCAUCUCAAAUCGUUCUGCCAUGCGCCUUUUAAACUCAAGUAUCAGCUCCAAGCUUGAACCUGUGACUAGUAAAUCGUCCACAUAUACCGCCACAAGCAAAAGAAACCCCUUUUCUUCUCUUCGGUACAGUGAAGGUUCCUUUGAACACUUGCUAAACUUCAAUUCAACAAGAAUUUGAUUUAACUUGUUGUUCCAAGCCCUUGGUGCCUGUUUCAGUCCAUAAAGAGCCUUGUGUAGUUUAUACACCUUAUCUUCACUUCCUUUGAUUUCAAAUCCCUCAGGUUGAUGAACAUACACUUCUUCUUUCAGCUCGCCAUGUAAGAAGGCUGUUUUUACAUCAAGAUGAUGUACUUCCCAUUCACUUGAAGCGGCUAGAGCAAUAAUAAAUCGAAUGGUUUCUAUGCGUGCCACUGGAGCAAAUACUUCGUCGAAAUCAAUACCAUAUCUCUGCACAUAACCCUUUGCCACAAGUCUUGAUUUGUAUUUGUUUAUGCUUCCAUCAGAGUUAUGUUUGAUUUUAAAUACCCAUUUAAGUCCAAUGGCUUUUGCUCCUUUAGGAAGAUUGACCAAAGUCCAAGUCUUGUUCUUGUUGAUCGAUGCAAUCUCUUCUUCACAUGCGUUUCUCCAUACUUUUAGGGAUUUCGCUUCAUUAAAAUCCCAUGGUUCUUCAUUCAUGGCUAACAAUAGGCGUUCACUCUCUAAUUCUGCAAUCAUUACAAAAUCAUCGAAGUGACCUGGUUGCUUGCGAAGUCGUGUUGAUCUUCUAAGUGCCGGUUGGUCUUGCACUUGUUCUUCUGUAGUAUUGUCUUCGGUUUCAAGGUUAAUACCAUCGGAAGCAUUGUUGUCUUCGACAUUAUCUCCAUCAUUCGUGUACUGUUCACUUUCGUCCUCUGUUUCCUCUGUUUCAUUUGUUCCAUUGUUUUGCUUUCCUCCUAAGACGAGAGUGAAUGUUCUGAUGCCACUGUUUAACUCGUUUACUGUGUUAUUCCACUUCCAGCUCUUUGUUUCGUCAAAGAUCACGUCGCGACUAACAAUAAUUCUUCUACUCUUUGGUUCCAAUAAUCGGUAGGCCUUUGAUCCUGGUUCAGUUCCCAGAUGGAUGAGAAUCUGUGAUCUAUCAUCGAGUUUUUUCAAAUGUGGAGAUGUGAUUUUUGCAUAUCCAAUACACCCGAAAACUCGCAGAUGCUCAAUGUUCGGUUUUCUUCUCUUGAAUGCUUCAUAUGGGGUUUGCUUCUCCAAACUCUUUGUAGCCACUCGAUUGAUAAGAUAUGUUGCAUGUCUCACAGCCUCCCCCCAAAGGUAGUUAGGAAUAUUCAUAUGUUUCAUGAUACUCCUAGUCAUCUCCAUAAGAGUUCUGUUCCUUUUUUCUACUACUCCAUUUUGUUGAGGAGAGUAGGGAGCGGUCAAGUGUCUUUUGAUGCCUGCAUUAUCACAAAACUCCUGGAAUUCUUGAGACACGAACUCACCUCCUCUGUCCGUUCUCAAGGUUUUAAUUAGUCGACCAGUUUCUUGCUCAACAACUGCUUUAAACCCUUUGAAUCGGCUGAAAGCUUCACUCUUUUCUUUGAGAAGAAGAGACCACAUAUACCUAGAAUAGUCAUCAAUUAACACGAAAACAUAUCGGUUUUGUGCUGCUGUUGCAGGUGCAAUCGGUCCACAAAGGUCACCAUGAACGAGUUCAAGUGGUUCUGAUGCUCGAUAUGUUGUUGAUUGUGGGAAAGGCUUUCUCAUCUGCUUUCCGAGCAUACAUGCGGAGCAGGUAUCCUUUUCUACAAAAAAGUUUGGUAUUCCUUUGACAAGAUCCUUCUUGAUCAUUGUCUUCAUGGUCUCUAUACCAACAUGUCCUAGCCUCGCAUGCCAUUUAACAGAAUCACUUAUAGCCAUGAUUUGCAGACACUUCGCUUUCUCCACCUCCAUGUGAACUUUGUAGAGUCUAUUCCUUGAUCUGUUCGCUUUGACUAGAAGUUUUCCAUCGCUGCCAUAUAACAUGAGAUGGUUCUUUCUCAUACGAAUAUCGCACCCUGAUUCCGUAGCCUGUCCUAAACUGAUAAUAACUGAUAAUGUUGCUUCGAAGGUCAGGUAUAAAAUAGACAUCUGCUAAGAUUUUACGUUCACCAUCCUUGCUUACGAAUAGUGUAGACCCUUUGCCUUUUAUGUCGAUGCGAGAAUCAUCCCCAAAUCGCAAUUUUCCUGUAAUAUUCUCAUCGAUCUUUGUGAAGAAGCUUCGAUUUCCUGUCAUGUGGUUACUAGCACCAUUGUCUAGAUACCACACAUCGUCUUCAGCCGGAGAUGACUCAAAGUUAUUUGGUUUGACGUUUCUCUCGUUGAGAAACACAACCUCGUGCAUCAUUAGUUUUUCUCCUUCAUGUGUUUCUUCUUCAUUGUCAUUAUCUUCUCUGGUUUCUUGCAGUUUUAACAGUCUAUCAGGGCAGUGUGACGCGUAGUGACCUGUUUGAUCACACCGAUAACAGGUGACUUUGGACAUAUCUCUUGCCUCGUUGGUCCUACCACGUCCUCUUCCUCUGCUGUAAAACCGUCCUCCACGACCUCUGCCUCUGUUUUCACCGGUGUAGCCUCGGUUUGAUUGACUUUCGCUAUUCGCAUACAUUAAUUUGUUCGAAUCUUCUUGGGUUUCCUCGUCUUCUCCUUGGAUACGUUCCUCGUACGCUUUUAAACGCCUUGUGAUAUCUUCGAAGGUAGUAUUGUUGAGAUCCAAUACUUGUUCGAGAGAUGCCACAAUGUGUAUGUAUCGUUUCCUUGGAAGACUCUUCAGAAACUUUCGAACAAGCUUUGAUUCCUCGAUAUUAGUUCCCAAAGCCGCAGAUUUUGAGCAGAUCUCCGAUAGUUUUCCGCUGAAGUCAUCAAUUGUUUCUGUAUCCUUCAUCUUUAGUUUGUCAAACUCAGCCAUUGACAUCUGCAAUCGAGCUUCCCGGACUCUCUCGGCUCCUACGUUUUUGGCUUUGAUCGCAUCCCACACCUUCUUUGCUGUUGCUAAUUCUCCGAUUUGUAGUAUAGCUGUUUCGGGCAUGGACUGAAAGAUUAAGGCCAUCGCUACAUCGUUUUUCUCGGCAUCGGUCAGACUCUGUUUCUACGACUUCCCAUACUUUAUGAACUCUGAGUAAUAUCCGCAUUCUCAUCGCCCAUACGGUAUAAUUGGUCGAGUUCAGCAUCGGACAUUGGAUGGUGGACGUACUCAGCUCUUUAGGUCGCGUGACAGGAACAAUAUCUCCCAUAGCUUCGGUUUUAAUGAUCUUCGUAUUUGACUUGUUCGGAUCGAUAGAUUAGAGGCUCUGAUACCAAAUAAUAUCGACUUUGGCUCAAGAACAGGAUUUAAUAAAACUCUCUUUUAUUAAAUUUUAGGAAACUCUCUCAAAACCUAAAGAUCCAAAACACAAAACUCAUAAGUUAUGCCACACAUUGGCAUCUCCUUAUAUAGAUGUUUAGUUACUCCUAAAUUUAAUAGAAUUAGAUAACUCCUAAUUUCCUUUUUCUUAACCUUAACACUUUUAGGAAACAUUACUUAAAGAUAAUCUAGAACAAUCUAGAAGCUUGCUCUUCAAGCUUCUAGAAAGCUUACUCCAACAGCAACAUGUACGUCACGUUGAGAGACGUUUGACUCAAUUCAUAGCUUUCUCGAUUGCUGUGAACUUCUUAAUGUUAACUUGUGAACCAGAAUCAGCUGAAGAGGUCGGUAAUUGAACGUAAACCAAUAUUUAUAUCAUGAACCGGUAAUUGUUAAUAUUGAAGUUCGAAUCGGUCUAAAGUUUUACUAGAGGGGAUUAGGAAAAACGGUCUAUUCCCCCAUGAAUUUUAUGUUUUCUAAAAAUCAAUACACUAACUAUUGAACUAUAUUUAUAACUAUAUGAAAUAUUAAAAUGCGGCCAAUUUCAUCAAAACCGUAAACAAUAUUAAUUUUCUGUCUACAAUUAAUGACGUAGCAGACACGUGGCAUACCAGUUUAAUAUAUAAUUUGAUCAAUUUUUUUUUUAAGUGCGUCGUUUUGAUAUUUCUUAAAAAAUGCAUUUCUUAAGAAUCUAACACACAAGUAAGGGUUUAGUGAGGGCUAGGGAUCGUUGAGUCAAUUUAUCAGUGAACAAUGCGACUUAAUAUAUGAUUGUGUGUAGAGAACAAUGCGACUUAUGAAGUUAUCAAUGAGGGCUAGGGAUCGUUGAGUCAAUUUAUAGAAAAUGUGUGAGGUUGAUUAUUUAUGCAUAUGGUCAAUGCAACACGUCGAAUCUAUUAAAUUUUGAUACAAGUUUUUGUUUUUUUUUGGGGAACUACUUUCCUAACUUUAGACAAUAUUUGAUCUUUAGAAUAGUUUCAAGAAAAAUUCAUACGCAAAUUUCAAAGUGAAUUUCGUUUACCAAUUGUUUUGUUUUUUAUCGUUGUUUUUUUUUUUGGUAAAAGGGUGGAAAAAUUGCAAGAAACAAAUUAUCUUGGCAACAAAACAAAAUGAUGAACAUUUUUUUUAACGAAGUUUCUGAAUCCUCCCUUAGUUUAUGAAAUACACAAGAAAGCAUUUUAUUUUUUCUUUUUCAAAAAAUCAAAGGAAACUCGCUUUUACGUUAAUUUCAAAGUGAAUUUCGUUUACCAACUGUAUUUUUUUGGCUAAUAUCGUUGUGUUUUUUUGGUAAAAAGGUGGAAAAAUUACAAGAAACAAAUGAUUUUGGAAACAAAAAUGAUGAACAUUUUUUCUUAACGAAGUUUCUGACCCUUAGUUUAUAAAAUACACACGAGAGCACUUCUAUUCUAUUAAAACAGAAGCACAUUUAGUGCUUGCAUCCAAACACUCUCAAAGUUUUUUUAUAAUAUUUUACAUUAUUUUUAUAUUUAAUUACCAAAAACUAGUUAAUAAUUUAGAUAUUUUUAGAUUUUCCAAAAUCUAAGUCAUCUUUAAUUUAAAUUUCAAAUUAUUAGAAAUUUAAUUAAAUUUAGUUACAAAAAUUUGCAUUAAAUUUAAUUUAAAUUCAAAAAAUUCAAAAAAAUAUAAUUAAAUUUUAUUACGAAAAUUUAGAUAUACUUUAGAAUUUCUUAAAUACAGGAAAGGUUAAAUUUAAAAUUUUAAAUUUAAAUAAUAUAUUUAUAAAAAUGCAUAGUAAAUAAAUAUUUUAUCGUAUUUUAUCAUAAACAAUCGGUCUAAAAUAUCAAAUAUUUGAGAUUAAUAAAUAUUUAUAUUAUACAAUAAUAUGAUCGAGCUGAUUAGAGUUAUAUAUAUAUAUAAGGUCUAUAUGUUAAUUUAUUAAAACAUGUAAGAUAUUAAGAUGAUUUGAGACAAUUAAACUAACAGGUUAGCACGUUUAUAUAUAUUUUUUUAAAUAGCACAAAUAGUAAAUAAAUAUCUUAUUAUAUUUUUUCAUAAUCAAUUGGUCCAAAUAUUCCAUAUUAGUGAAUAUUUAUAGGAUUAUACAAUUAUAAUUAUAGUCUUAUACAAGUUAGUUUGUCAAAACAUAUAAAAUAUUAAAAAUGAUUUAAGAUAACUAAACGGAUGAAUUAGCAAAUUCAUAGAUAUAUAGAUUGUUUAUGUGUAAAUCUAAAUUCACAUAAUAACAAAGUUUAUAAUUAUGUAUUCUACUAAUAUACAAAUUUUACUGUUUAAAAUUAAAAUAUGAUAAGAAUUUUUUUAUUUAAAAAAAUAAAUAAUAAAAAUAAGUUAUAUCUAAACAAAAAAGAUAAAUACAACUUAUAUUAGAAAUAAAAAAUAAAAAAUUCCCGACGAAUGCACGGGAUUAAAAUCUAGUUUUUUAAUUAAAAAAUCAAAGUAGGCUCGCUUUUCCGUUAAUUCUCUGCUAACUGACUUUACACGGCGGCGAUGGCCGUUACCUCUGAAACUCCCGACGGCUCUAACGGCGGCGAUCCAAACAAGAAACCAGAAGACGUCGAGAAAGAAGAGGAAGAAGAAGAGAAUCAAAAGGAGAAACCUGAAGACGAAGAAGAAGAAGAAAUACAGUAUCGCUCGAUUUCUUUCCCAAAUCUUCCACACGAUCUCACCGAACUUUGCGUCGCACUCCUCCGGAGAUGCAAUUACCCGAGCCUAUCCCUCAUCUCCAAGGGCUUUCGCACUCUUGCCGCUUCGCCGAGACUCUACGACGCUCGCUCGCGACUCGGCGUCACCGAAUGCGUUCUUUACGCCUCCAUCGGAUUCCCUACUUCCUCAAGCCCGAGCUGGUACAUUCUCCGCCGUGACGAGAUCUCCUUGCGACUGUGCAGAAUCGACAAACUCCCGAUUCAUUGGGGAUCUGCCGUCGUCACAAUCGGACCGACGAUGUACGUAAUCGGAGGAAGAUCCGACGGGAAACCCACAUCGGAUGUGACUCUAAUCGAUUGCAGAUUCCACACAUGAAAAACAAAUGAUCCCUCGUUUCAAUUGGUUCACUGCAGAAGACACAACUGGUGGUUGCAUUCUGGUUCCAGUUUUUGAUUCUGUCCCCUGUGGCUAAUCUGUUCUUGAUCGCUAGCCAGAGCAUAAAUGAGUACUUGGGAGUAGCGUGGGGAAACCAAACUCCUCUGCACCAAGGCACGAUCUGUCUCCCUGUUUUUUUGGCUUCAAACCUCGGUUUAUACUGUCCAUUUUUACCCUUCCACUGUGUCUCGUCUCGAUCCUUGGGUGAUUUUUCUCAAUCUCAACUGCUCUAUCUCUGUUUCGAUCUCGUUAAGUAGGCCCUGGCGGUGUCUCCGCCUUCUUGGUCUGUCAAGAACCUCAGCCAUCGUCGCAUGUUUUGAAAAUCCCAGGUCAAUGAUGCCUCGUUCCCCAACUAGCUCCAGCAGACAUCCUUUACUGCUCCAUGAGUCAUACCAGAAAGACGUAUGUGUUCCAUUUUUUACCUCCACUCGGUAGAAGUUUUUUGCGAGGGUUCUGUACUUAAGAAGCUUCUUCCACAUCCAGGAGCCCAUUGAUGUUGUAUCUUUUAUUGCCCAGAAAGACCCUUCCCGUAUAAGCUGCGCCUGAAUCCACUGUACCCAUAAAGAGCUCGGGGAUGACAUAAUCCUCCAAAUAAGCUUUAGACAGCAAACUUUAUUUGCAACCUCAAUCGAGAUCUCAAGCAGGAUCCUUUUUCCCAGGGAAGGUGUUUGGGCACGAAGGAACGAUGGUGAAGAAUUGAAGAGUUUGUGGAAAGCAUCGUCUUGUGUGGUUGAUGAUAAGCUGUAUUCGAUCGAUCCUUUGUGUAGUCUUGGACAUCCAGUAGUCGUGUAUGAUCCAACGGAGAGGACUUGGAGAUCUGUGAGAGGUGUCUAUGGUUUUCCUACUAAUAUCUCUGAUUAUGACUCUAAAAUGGCAAAUCUUGGUGGGAAGCUGGUGGUUUUGGCUGGUAAGAGCCCGUUGUUUAGGUCUGAUCAUCACGGGGAAGAAGAGAUUUGGUGCUUAGAGAUCCAUUUGGAAAGACGUCAAGAUGGUGAGAUUUGGGGGAAUGUCGAAUCAAUCAAGCGUGUGCUUACAUCAAUCGAGUCGCCUUACAUUGAGCAUUGUCGAACUUUUACCCUUUGAUGAUGCUUGGGAUUGGUGUUCUUGCAGGUAUGUAUGUUUAUGUGAUAAAGUUAUGGCAUUUUCGUUACCCUCUCAAAGGCUUUACUUAUAGGACAUUCAUGAACUUGCAGGUGAAUCAAAGUGACUCAGAAGCUGUAUCUGACACCUCAAGAGUAACUCUUACUUCUUUACCUCUCUGCACAGUGUAUAUACUCUUUACAGAAUUAGCCUUGAGUAGAUUUCUUAAGCUGUAAAGAAGAUAGGUUUAUUCUUUUAGCUGCCUUUAUACAAAAAUUCUUACGAAAUUUGUUGUUGAAUUGCAUCUCUGCACAGUGUAGAUACUCUUACAGAAUUAGCCUUGAGUAGAUUUCUUGAGCUGUACAGAAGGUAGGCUAUUCUUGUAGCUGCCUUUAUAGAAAAAUUCUUACGAAAUUGUUGAAAUGCAUCUUUAGUUAGCUAUGUCUUUAGUUAGCUAUCAUUUUGCUAUCUUUUUUUUUUGUAUGUUCUGCAAGUCAUAUUCAAGAUAUAGCAGAAAUCAAACCUGCUUCUACUAGAAGAGCAAUGUGAAAUCGUGGUUGAGAUAAGAAGCAUAACAAAUUAAUUUAGUUAACCGGUGGUUUUGACUUUAUGGGUAACUACAAUAUCAAAUUGAGGAAAUACAAAGACCUGAAGCGUACAUAGAAUGUUCAAUGUGGAGAGAAUAUUACCUUUAUAGGUACCAAAACCCAAUUUACUUAUACCAUUUGAGAAAUAUGAAAUUCUGGUUUAGAGAUGAAGCAAAACGAACGGUUUAGCUAUACAUUAUAGAUAACUACAAGUCUAAAAUAGAAAAUAUCAAGUUGACAAUAUACAAAGACUAGUCAAAACACAACCAUCCAAAACUUUGAAUUUAACAUUUGUUGACACCAUUCGAAGGAAAGAUACAGGACAAAUUAGGGUUUCUAAAUAGAAAACAGAGAGAUUUGUGACUUGUGAGUAACGUUAAGAGACGUUUGGUUGCUAGAGUUAUAGAUUUCCUGUUCUUCUGAGUUUAACAAGACCCAUUGUGCUUCUACUAUAUAUGAAAUCUUGGUUCAGUUAUGUGAAGAUGUUACGUGAGCAAAACAAACUAAGUUGCAACUCAAAAUGUAUUUAACUGUAUGCUGAUUUUACAAGAAAAGUUUCAAAUAAUACUUUUGCCAAGAAAUGAAGAAAUGCCACUUUUUUUUGUUAUGAUAAGAAAAUGGAAACAAGUAAAAUUGCUUAUAUAUCGUGGUAUAUUUUUUCUUGUUAUAGUUUUGAUUUGCUUAAUUUUGGUUGCAAAUUGAAGAAUUUUAAUUGUAAUAGUAAUCUUUUUACAAAGGAAGAAACCACAAUUUAGAAUUAAGUUAGAUUUUUUGUCACGUGAGUGUCCAAUCAGGUUUUUAAAACUACUAUUUUAUCUCUCGGUUUAUGCAAAAUGACUAUUUGAAGUUUUAUUUGGUAAAUUAGGUCUAUUUUUUGCCGCCAUCUUUAUUUUUUUUUCCGUCAUCUUUUAGUCGAUAAUUAAAAACAAAACAGAGCAAUUAAUGACUGAAGAGUAUAUCUAUCUACUAAUCAGUCAUCAGUAAGUAGUAGACACAAGACAAGAAAAUCGAAUUAGGCCAUCAUAAUCUCUGAAACUUCCGACGACUGAUGGCGAUGGUUGUAAUCUCCGAGAUUACCGACGAUUCUAACGGCGGCGAUCCAAAAUACAAUAUAAGUUAUGAGAAGACAAGCUUAAAAAAUAGCCAUCAAUGAGGUCUGGUAGUAAGUUUAUUAGACCUAUUAUUAUGUCAGUCAAAAGUGCUAAACAAUUUUUUAUAACUCUAACGAAAUACCGUUCCUUCGUAUAUGAGAAGACAAGCUUAAAAAAUACCCACCAAUGAAGUCUGCUACUAAGUCUGUUAUACCUGUUAUUAUAUCAGUCAAAAGUAUUAAAAAAUUGUUUAGAGGUCUAAUGAAAUAUAUUCUAAGUAACAAAACAUCGCCAAUAAAGGGUUUGGUAUCAAUGUUAUACAUGUUAUACAUGUUAUUAAUCUGUUUAGCAUACUAAAUUUUUGAUUAGAUUGGUUAAUAUCUAUUAGGGCCCUAACUCUGACUUUUUAGAGGAUAAUAAUAAAAAUACACCAGUACAAAGUAAUUGGUAACAGUUUGGAGACCCAUAAAAGACAACAAUUUGCCACAACAAAGAUAGAGUAGAGUGUCUUGCAAUACCAAGUAACAUGAAAAAAAGGGUUAUCGGACGAGCACAUGAAAUCCUCAGAGUGGUUCAGCGAAUUCGUCAAAGAAUUUCAUAGCCAAUACUUGACUCGCGUUGACAAGUUCUUCUGGUGUCAUCGACUUGCAUCUCUCCACACCCCCAAUACAAUGCAUCAUUGCCAAAAGCACAGCGGAUACUCCAGAAUCAGUACAUAUGGGUUAUGUGGAAUCCUUUUGGCUCUUUGUAUCGAGAACACCUUAUACUCGAUUGGACGUUUGUAACCCGUUAACUUUUUCAAGAUGAACGACAACAUCUGAGCUAGAGGUGUAAACUCUUUUUUUGUGGCCGCCUCUGUCACAAGUUCGGCUUGAGUCAUCCCACCCUUGAACAUCUCCUUCCUGAAUUGAAAACCUUCACCAAUAAGUUGAACCACAUAAUCCACUUUGGGAUCGUCGGGAGUAAUACUGAAAACAUCAACCUGUAAAUAUAUUACACGGUUAACAUAAUGCUUAGAUAAGGGAGUCGUACAAAACAGAUAACCGAACUGUUAGAUGGCAGUAAAAAUUGUUAGCGGUUACAUAUGCGAGUCGUUUAAACAGCUAACAGAAUUGUUACAUGGCAAUAAAGUUGUUAGCUGUUACAUAUGACAUUCCUUUUAAACAGAUAACGGGAAUGUUAGAUGGGUAUCAAAGUUGUUAGCUGUUACAUGUGCAUCAACUUUAAAACAUAUAACGGGAUUGUUAGAUGGGUAUCAAAUUUGUUAGCAUUUAAAUGUGCCACCCCUUUAAACAGGUAACAGAAUUGUUAGAUGGGAAUCAAAGUUGUUAGUUGUUACUUACUUUACAUUCUUCAUCUACUUCCCUCGCAUGGCCGGGACUGAGCCCAAGUUUCGAAACCUCCGAUCUGGGGUUUGUCUUAGAUGUAAUCUGAUCUGGGUCAAUCGUUGUGUCCUGAUCUAACAAGCCCUUACCACCUCCUCCCGAUUGAACGGCAUCGUCAAUGUCAACAUCUUCGUCUUCACCACCUUCAGAAUCAAAAGAAUCAGAAGAUUCAUUCACUUGAACAACCUCCGUAAGCGCCGGAAUGGCCUCCACCAGAAUUAACUGAAUAUCAUGAAAAAAAUCUUUUACUGCGACGGUGCUUUGUGCAAGGGCAACCUCAUAUUUGGUUUUUAUGUUAGCGAUUAGCAUCUCGAAUCCAAGUCUACCCCAUGGAUAUGCGAAGAAAUCUUCCAAAUCUCUGAUUAACUCGACAUGGUCAUACACGAUUUUCGACCGGUGGUUGGUAGGGCAGAGAACAGCGCCGGUAAUAGCAGGGCAAGUGUACUUCAAACGAGUAGUCCAGUCGACAACGGUUUUCUUCUUAAGCAUCUUGGUUGCCAAAUCAACUUUGAGAAGUCUGGUGAUUAUGUUAUGCCCGAAACUCCCAGUAACCGUCGCCAGUGGCGAUGAGUUUCCCGAAAGGCGAUUUUCGUAAGUAGUUUCUCUCCUCCUCGUCAAGAGCAUCGAGAAUGUUACUGAUGGUAUUCGCUUUAUGAUAGGAGUUCACCCUCUCGCCGGUGGGUUCGUCGCCGGCGGCAAAAUUUCUGGUCGGGAGUUCUUGAAGCGCCAUUAGUGACCAGAUGCAAGUGGGGAAAAAACGUCUCUGCAUUAGGAAGUUCCAGAGAUGAAUUGUUGUAAAUAUCUUCAAUUUGAAAUACUCUUUUCAAAUUUUUAAGUAGCAUUAUUACACUAAAGUCCUAGGGGUUCUUUUACCUGUAGCCUAUAACCGUUAGAGUUAUAGGGAGUUUUUUGUAUUAAUGAAAAUAUGUAAAUAGGUGUAUAACGUAUAAUUUUAUAUGUUUGCAAAUACGAUCGUAUUCUAUGUUACAGCAUGCAAAUUCUCUAAAUUAAAUUAUAUUAUAAAUUACAUUUAUUGUCGCAAACAUUAUCAUACCGAAACUUCUUAGUUACUUAAACCAUAACUUACAUGUUAUCGUUGCAUGGCAAUUAUUGAUCUGAUGUAGAACAAAAAGCUUUUUACUUAAUCGAUAAUACUAUCGCUAUUGCAUAUGUUUUGUUUCUGAGUGCUUGUUUUCUCAAUAUUUUUUUCCCUCGGUAGCAAUCAUGGCUGCUGAAAAUAAUGAGAUGAAGAAUGAGGAAGAAGUAAGUUGGGUUUUUGUUCUCUUAAGGGAAAAAGGAUCCUCUUUCUUAAAUAUUAAGUUACCCAUAUACUUUUGAGGAUAAAUCAUGAUUGUAUGGUUUUUCUUUUUUGGUCAUCCUUAGCUCCCACCCUUUGAUCCAACCAAGAAGAAGAAAGUUGUCAUUCAGGAUCUUGUCAAGGACUCAACAGUCACAUACGGAGAAAUAUGAUUCAUUGCCUGGUAUGUUGAAGAGAGUGUUUAAAUUAGAUGUUUUGUGUCUUUCUAAAAAAAUUUUGAACUCUAUAAGCCUGUGUUUUGCUGAUUAUGUGCCUAUGUGUUUAGAUGGUAUUUUUUAAUUCCUUUUUUGUGCUAAGGAUGUGGAAGUUAGAUUACAUGAAUAGAAAUGGAAUCCUUUAUCAUUGUUCUCACCUCAUCUUCUACUCUCUCUGAAUGUGGAAGUUAUAGCUAUAUUGACUUAAAAAUGAGUAGGUAGUUGUAAAGUUUAUGCCUGAAUGAUUCUGAGAAGAACAAGAAUGGAACUGCAGAUCAUUCUAUGUGGAGAAACUAUGAUGACCUGAACAAGAACUUCUCCUCAAACCAUUCAUUGUCUAAUGUCUCUUGAGUGCAUCAAAAUUGGCUGGCCAAUGCGUCUUGACCAUGAUUUGUUCUGUAUAGAAUCGUUAGAUACCAGCAAACCACAGAGAUGGCAAGGAAUACUUAGAUUUCGCAAGCAGAAUAAGAAAACCGAGGAAGAAAUGGAGGAUGACGUAGAACUUGAGGUACAUACUCUGUUUUUGUCGUCUAUACAGCAUUGGGUCUAUACACUGUUUUUGUUACAGUGUAAGUAUAGUCUCAUUUAUACGAGAUUUUGGAUCAAAUGGACAUCUUUCACAUAAAUGGAUCAUGUGGCAUCUUCUCAUCUUUGCUUUCUUUGAUUUAUUUUUUCCCUUUAGAUUUCUAAAUUCGGAGAUAGUGUUCUUUCAUAUUCUGUUGUUGUUUAUGCGUUGUUCGUUGUUCUUAUAACUGAUCAAAGAGAUAAUAUUUUUUUGAUAAUAUUUUUUUAGCUGUCUUAUAUUUGUUCCGUGUAUACAUUGUUCCUGCUCUAGUGAGCUAUAUAUUUGUUUCCUGGUUCUCAUGUCUGUGGUUUUGUAUCUUUGCGUUUAUUUCGUUCUGUUUUUAUCUCCUUGCGAUUGUUUUGUUAUUAUAUUUGUUCAUGUGGCAUCGUCUCCCAUAUUUCCCUUCUGUUUGACGUUUAUCUCUCUCCUUCUUUUUAAAAUAUAACCUAUUUUUUGUGUAAUAUUGUCUUUUACAGUUGUGUUGUUGUGCUUUUAUGGGUCAGAUAUUUCCAGAUUCUGAUCCUAAAUGGAAAGAAGCGCAGAUCCUUCAGUUGUGAACCUAAAAGCUAAAACUCACGAGAAAGUUGAUAGCCUUGAAGAAUAACAGAAGCAUUGCAGCUCAUGAAGAAGUGAGUCAAUUUUAUCACAUUCCUUAAAUGUAUCAAUCUUCUUAAGAAAACACUUUUUAAUGUAAUCCCUUUAGACUAGGUUUAUUAAUACAUUCUUAGAAAUAGUGAAAAUCGAAUCAUGUGAUGACGAUACAUUGAAAUGGAAAAAUGAUUCUGGUUUCUGUCAGUUUUAAAUAAAACUUGAAAUUAUGACUUUUUUAGCUGUUUGGAUUGGUAACUUCUAGAAAUGGAUACCGCCAGUAACACCUGAGAUACAUUAGUUUUUUUUUUUGAAAAAAUGUUAAAUUAAAACAAAUUAUAAUUGGACACUUGAGAUCCAUUAGUUAUUACUUAUAGAAGUAUUUUAGACGAUUUAGUGAUUAUAAUUGAGUUAUCAAGGACUUCUUUUCAUACGUAAAACUGAGCUUCUUGUCAUACUUAAAACUGUAUCCUAGAAGAAUAUGAAUUUAGAGAGAAGAAAAAUGACAAAGGCAAUGAAGAAGGAAAAGAAAAAAAAAAGCAUAUAAAGAAAAAGAAAACUUGGAAGAAGAAGAAGAAGUUUGAGAAGAUGAUGAUGGAGAAGAAGAAAAAUCCAAAAAAGAAGAAAACUGAAAGAUAAAAAAGAAAAAAAGAAGAUCAAGACACAACAUAUAGAAGAAGUAGAAGUCGGUAACUUUCAUGAAGAUGAAAUAAAAAGAUGAAAAAUAAGAAAAACGAAAGAUGUAUGAGAGGAAGAAGAAAUAGAAAAAAUAGAAGUUGAAAACAAUAAGAUGGAAGAAAGAAAAGAAGUGAAAAAAAAAGAACAUGAAAAAAGAAAAACCAAUAAAAUAUGAAGUUAGAGAAGACAGAAAAUAAAGAAUGAGAAGUGAUAAAAACAAAAAAUAUAAGGAAAUAGCGAUAAAGAAUAAAAUUAAAAACACAGAAGAAAAAAUAAGAAACAAAAAAGUUAUGUUUUAGUUUAAUUAAUUUGUAGAUUUAUUCAUAUAUUUAUAUAAUACUUUUUGGCAAUUAAUUUUGGAUUGGGUUUACUUUUUGGAUUAAUUUUAUUUUGAUCUCUUAUGUAUUAAAUAGUUAUUUUAAUUUUCUUUAAUUUAUAACAUAAAUUUUUUUUUUUUUUUUUUUUUAAAACCUUUUGGCGCCUUGACUAAACACCUAGUAAUUAAUUAAGAUCGUUAUUCGUUGCAGUUCUUAUAAACAAGUUGUAAUGUUAUACGCUUGUUUCAUCUAUCACAAGACUUCGGAUUGUAACAGACGUACGUGAACUUGUAUGUGAAUGAUAUAGUUCAACCGGAGGCGAUGAUUGUAACUUUGUCAAUUAUUACUUGAUUCAAAGCACCAUUUUUAUUUAUUUAUUUGAUAAGAGACAUGUUGAUCGUAGUCAAAGCAACACCUUCCAAAUAUCAAUAUAUUAGGACACUGCAGGUUACAAAGCAAAAGACUUGAAGCUUAUUUUGUUUAUCUUCUAGUUAAACCUCUUUUGAAUGAUCAACACGUCCACGACGGCGAUGACGACGGCUUGUGCGAGUUGAGUUAGCCUCUUGCACAGUGAUGCUGCUUUCCCCGAGCUUCUGACCGUUCAUUCCGUUAAUGGCAUCCCACAUUGAUUUCUCGUCUUUGAAAGUAAGAAAUGCAUAAACCUUUAUGUUUUCAGAAUCACGUUGAUCUGUAAGGGAAAUAAGAUUGUAGAAUAUUGUGUUGUCUUCAUAAUGAUCUCGUACAAGGCAUAUAUAUAUACACAAUAUAAACCCUAGAAUAUCUUGACGGCUAAGCUAUAGACACCGACAUACUUGAAGCCCAAUAUUACCGAGCCCAAUUCCCUAAUACUCCCCCUCAAGUUGGAGUGUGGAGAUUCGAAACACCCAACUUGGACAUUAGAACUUUAAACUGAGGACGUCCUAAAGCCUUGGUAAGAACAUCAGCAAUCUGAUCUUUGGAACGAACAUGAACCGCAGUAAUAACGUCUUCAGUAACCGCAUCACGAACACAGUGACAAUCACGUUCAAUAUGUUUAGUGCGCUCAUGAAAAACUGGAUUGGCGGCAAUGUGCAUUGCUGCCUCACUAUCGCAAUAGAACGGAACAGGCUGUGUAACCGGAUUGCCAAGAUCACCCAUCAACUGAACAAUCCACUGAAUCUCCUUUGUAGCAAACGCCAUGGCCCGGUAGUCAGCUUCAGCCGUAGAAUGUGAGACAGUACUUUGUUUCUUUGUUUUCCAAGAAAUCGGACAACCGCCAAGUAGAACCACAUAUUCACUAAGGGAACGUCGUGUCAAGGGACAGGAUUGCCAAUCGGCAUCACAAUAGACAGACAACUGAAGAUUGCUAUCGGAUUUCAAGAGAAUACUUUGUCCGGGGCAGCCUUUUAAAUAUCUUACAACACGAAGUGCAGCUGUCCAAUGAGACUGAUGGGGCUCUUGCAUAAACUGUGACAACAAGUGGACAGCAUAACACAAAUCUGGUCUUGUAACAGAAAGAUAGACAAGACGACCAACUAGGCGUCGAUAACAAAAAGGAUCCGAGAGGAGAGGACUUGUAUCCGACGCAAGUUUGUGGUUUUGCUCAAUCGGUGUCAAUGCCGGCUUUGCGCCAAGGAGACCUGUGUCAGCGACAAUAUCAAGGAUACAUUUCCUUUGAGAGAGGAAAAUACCUUCGUCAGAACGUGCUACUUCAAUACCGAGGAAAUAUUUGAGCUUACCCAGAUCUUUCAUGUGGAAACAUUCGCCCAAAUAUGCCUUAAACUUUGUCAAUCUCUCCAUGUUAUUGCUUGCAAUAACCAGAUCGUCCACAUAAAUCAAAACUCGAAUUUCUGUCCCGCCCUUCUCAAAUGUGAAUAAUGAGUAAUCGGAAUAAGAUUGCUUGAAACCGAACUUUAACAGCACAGUAGACAGUUUGGCGAACCAGCAACGUGGUGCUUGACGAAGUCCAUAAAGGGAUUUCCGAAGACGCAGAACCUUAGUAGGAUCAGAGUGCGUAAAACCCGGAGGGAACUUCAUGUAAACUUCUUCUUUGAGGUCACCAUGAAGGAAAGCAUUAUGGACAUCCAUCUGAUGCACUUCCCAAUUCUUUGCGGAAACAACACCUAAAAGACUACGCACAGUCUCCAUUUUAACGACUGGAGCAAAAGUUUCGUCGAAAUCUUCCCCUUCCACCUGAAUAUUUCCCAUAACUACCAACCGAGCCUUAUGACGUUCGAUAGUUCCAUCGGCGUUAUAUUUAAUCUUAUAGACCCACUUGCAGGGAAUAGCAAUCUUUCCAGGCGGAAGUGAUUCAACAUCCCAUGUGUGAUUAUCUUCGAGAGCAACGACCUCGUCUUGCAUAGGAGCAUGCCAAACCUCAUCCUUUACUGCUUCCGUAUAGCUCUUGGGCUCAACACCUGCAGUCACUGCUGCCAAGAAUGCUUGGUGCGAUGGUGAGAACAAGAGAUCAGAGACAUAAGCAUCCAAGGGAUACGGUGUCUUACCUUGGAAAGUUUCUGAAGACGCCGGAGUGGAGCAGAGUGAGGAGAGAUGGGGGUUAAGGGCGGCGGCAUUAUACGUAACAAAGCCUUUGAGACGCGUAGAAGGAAUGCGCUCUCGAUGUCCACGACCUAAUACUUCAACCUCAGUAACUGAAUCAUGGUCAACUUGUCCUGAGGAAGUUUGGGACAGCUCCAAAACAGGGGACUCUGUUGCAACAUGGGGUAUAUCUUCAGUAUUGGGAGAUGGAGUCUCAACUAGAGAUUCCGUCGGAACAGGCAGUGAGUCAGGUGCAGUAGAGGAAAGAGGGGCAGCGGAAUCUGGUGUUGGUGAAUUCGAAGCUUCCUCCACAGCAGCUGACUCAGAACUCCCCCUGACUUCGGAAACCGGAGGCGAUGGAAUUGCCCAAUCGUCAUCACAAAACGACGAAGACGAGAGAUGCUGAGGUGCGACUACGGGUGAGACGGGAGGCAAAGACGAAAAAGGAAAUUCAUCUUCAUAGAACACAACAUCGCGAGAGAUGAUGAACUCCUUCUUGUCUAAAUCAUACACUUUCCAUCCCUUUUGUCCAAAAGGAUACCCAACAAAACGCAACGACGACUGCGGGAGCCAAACUUGUCUUUAUCCCUUGACCGUAAGUGUGUGUAACACAAACUUCCAAAUACACGGAGAUUGUCAUACGAUGGUGUUUGUCCGUAUAAAAUCUCAUAAGGUGUUUUGCCCUUAAGAAUGGCUGUUGGGGUUCGAUUAAUGAGAUGAGUUGCAGUCAUGACAGCUUCUCCCCAAAACUUGAUCGGUAAGCUACGUUGGAAAAGUAACGCGCGAGAUACGUUAAGAAUGUGUCGAUGUUUGCGUUCAACUCUUCCAUUCUAUUGAGGCGUGGCAACGCACGAGGUUUGAUGAAGAAUUCCUUGUUCACGAAAGAACCGAGAUAGACACAUAAACUCUGUGCCAUUGUCACUAUGAACUACCUUCACCGUUUUAUGAAAUUGCCUUUCUGACAUCGCACAAAAGUUCUGAAGCACCAUAUGCACUUCUGUCUUUUCGAGAAGCAAAUAAGUCCAAACUGCUCUUGAAAAAUCGUCAACAAUAGUUAAAAAAUAAACUGCUCCACUGGAGGAUCUGGUUCGGUAAGGACCCCAAACAUCACAAUAAAUUAACUGAAAACAUUCAUUUGAUUUAUUUGAACUUGCAACAAAAACUUCUCUAGUCUGCUUUGCCCGGAAACAUGUGUCACAAGGACUAGGGGGCAGCAGAUUUAUUCAACGAAAACAUAGGUAAUGACGCUAAAGCAGAAAACGACGGAUGCCCGAGCCUCUGGUGCCAACAAUUCUGAUCAGCCAAGCUAACAACCGGACUGGUGACUCGAUGAACCCUUGCAGCCAUGACAUCUUUAAAAUAGUAAACCCCAUCCCUCUCUUCACCUGCUCCAAUCAGGGUCCUCGUGAAACGAUCCUGUAAAACACACAACGUAUCGGUGAGAAGAGCAAAACAAUUGGUCCGUUUUAGCAGCUUUGAAACAGAUAUCAACGAGCAAUUAAGAUUUGGCACAAAUAAAACAUUGUCCAACACAAUAUGGCUUGUUAAUGGAAAUACGCCCAUAUGAGUUGCAAAUGUGCGAUUUCCAUCAGCAAAACCAACAGCACAUGGUGAGAUACGAGACGUGUUCUCAAGAAAAGACAAAUUUCCUGUCAUGUGGUGAGAUGCUCCCGUAUCUAGUAUGAGAUCACCUGCACCACGCUUACCAGAGAGACGAUCGUUGGAGGAUUUAGUUUUCUCCGAAAUCAGCUGAGAAAGUGCUUUCCAUUGCUCUUCGGAAAACUCUGGGAACGAGGACGAAUUGGAUGUGGUAGCAUGAGCGUUGCUUGCGUGCACACCGCCAUUCCCACCUCGUCCUGCACCGCGACCUCGUCUACCUCCGCGACCACCUUUGUUCGCGGCUCUGUUCUGCGCACGAUCUUCCCACCAAGAAGGAAAACCGACUAGCUGCCAGCAGUUUGCUUUGACAUGGCCACUGCGACCACAAUGAGAGCAUUGAGUACCACGUUCAUGUUGUGAACCACCUCCAGACGUAUCAGAAGACGAGUCCCUUUUUGCCACAAAACCCACCGCGUUUUGCUGAGACUCGCGUUCUUUCGCGGAAUUCAGUCUUUGCUCUUCCCGAACUACCUUGGCAUAGAUUUCACCAAGAUCUGUGGAUGCAUCGGAGGAGAUGAUGGCCUGACACAUACCACCAAAACGAGCCUCAUCUAACCCCAUUACAAACUGAUGCAUCUUCUCUUCUUCACGCUCCUUUUCAUACUCAGCAGCAGCACUACAUGUGCACGCAGGAAGAGGUUUGUACAUGUCAAGCUCUUCCCAAAUUUUGGACAACCGUCCGUAAUACUCGAUGACGUCGUCACCGUUUUGUCGACAAACAGCUAACUUCUCCUUCAAGUGAUGCACGCGCACCUUGUUUCCCACAGAGAAACGUUUGCGAAGAUUCUCCCACAACUUGUGUGAAUCUGUGAUGAACGUCACCGUAGAUCGGACCCGCGGCUCAAUGGAAGUGCGGAUCCAACCAACAAUCAUCGAGUUAACCGACAACCACAGCUCAAGUUUUGGAUCGCUUGCUAGUGGCUUUGGUAUGGUGCCCUCGACGAAACCCAACUUCUGUUUUGCACGAAGGGCAUUAGUCAUCUCGCUUGCCCACUCAUUGUAGUUGUCACCGUUUAACAUCACCGACGUUAUUAGGGCACCAGGAUUGUCCGAGCCAUACAGAGUGUACGGCGUCGCAGCUCCAGCGUUGGAAACCAUUGGAGCGGUGGUCGUAAUUGUACUCACGGAAGACUCAACACCAUCGACCAUGGCUAAUCCUUGAAUCGAACUUUGAACAAGGAAGUAAACAAGAACACGCUAAAACGAACUUCGGAUUAGCGAAAGAGAAAAAAACAACUGCCUUUAGGUCUCAGAAACGAUGUCGCUCUGAUACCAUGUAAGGGAAAUAAGAUUGUAGAAUAUUGUGUUGUCUUCAUAAUGAUCUCGUACAAGGCAUAUAUAUAUACACAAUAUAAACCCUAGAAUAUCUUGACGGCUAAGCUAUAUACACCGACAUACUUGAAGCCCAAUAUUACCGAGCCCAAUUCCCUAAUAUGAUCUUUAAUGACCUGUGAAACAAUUUACAGAUGAAUCAAAACUCCAAUACCACGGUGCAUGGUAAAUUGAUCCCAAAAACAAAACAAGAAAACAAAAAAAACCAACCGUUGUAUAUGUAACUUCGCCAAAGGGAGAAAAUAAAAUGCACUUUCAAGAUCAUCUUCUUCAGUGUCCGAGUCCAGAUCGCCAAUAAAGCACGUGAAUUCGAUAUCUUCGGACGCCAUUUCUGAAAGAGAGAUAUAAGACAAUUUAUGGUUUUUAUAAGUAGAGAACAAUGCGACUUAUCAAGGUUAUGAGUGAGGGCUAGAGACGUUGAGUCAAUUUAUAGAAACUGUGUGAGGUUGAAAAUUUAUGCAUAUGGUCAAUGCAACACGUUGAAUCUAUUAAACAAAACUAUUCUUGAAAUCCUAAACUUUAGACAAUAUUUGAUCUUUAGAAUAGUUUCAAAAAAAAGUCAUAAGCAGAUUUCAAAGUGAAUUUCGUUUACCAAUUGUUUUUUUCCGGCUAAUAUCAUUUUUUUGGGGUAAAAAGGUGAUAAAUUACAAGAAACAAAUUAUUUUGGAAACAAAAAUGAUGAACAUUUUUUGUUAACGAUGUUUCUGAAUUCUCCCUUAGUUUAUAAAAUACAAGUUUUUUGUUUUUUUUGUUUAAGACCUAGUUCCUAAACUUUAGACAAUAUUUUCUCUUUAGAAUAUAGUUUCAAGAAAAAUUCAUAUGCAAAUUUCAAAAUGAAUUUCGUUUACCAAUUGUUUAUUUUGUUUCCCGGCUAAUAUCGUUGUUUUUUUUUGGUAGAAAGGUGAGAAAAUUACAAGAAAACAAAUUAUCUUGGAAACAAAUUAAAAUGAUGAACAUUUUUUUAACGAAGUUUCUGAUCCUCACUUAGAGAGAGCAUUUAUAUUUUCUUUUCAAAAAAUCAAAGUAGGCUCGCUUUUCCGUUAAUUCUCUGCUAACUGACUUUACACGGCGGCGAUGGCCGUUACCUCUGAAACUCCCGACGGCUCUAACGGCGGCGAUCCAAACAAGAAAUCAGAAGAUGUCGAGAAAGAAGGGAAAGAAGAAGAUGAGAAUCAAAAGAAAUACAGUAUCGUUCGAUUUCUUUCCCAAAUCUUCCACACGAACUCACCUAACAAAGAGAUAGAAGAAGAGAAUCAAAAGGAGAAACCUGUAGAUCAAGAAGAAGAAAUACAGUAUCGCUCGAUUUCUUUCCCAAAUCUUCCACACGAAGUCACCGAACGUUGCGUCGCACUCUUCCGGAGAUGCAAUUACCCGAGCCUAUCCCUCAUCUCCAAGGGCUUUCGCACUCUCACCGCUUCGCCGAGACUCUACGACGCUCGCUCGCGACCCGGCGUCACCAAAUCAGUUCUUUACGCCGCCUUCGGAUUCCUUCCAUCCCCAGGCCCGAGCUGGUACAUUCUCCGCCGUAACGAGAUCUCCUCACGACUGUUCAGAAUCGACGAACUCCCUUCGAUGCUUUGGGGAUCUGCCGUCGUCGCAAUCGGAUCGAAGAUGUACGUAAUCGGAGGAAGCGCCGGCGGGAAACCCUCAUCGGAUGUGACUCUAAUCGAUUGCAGAUCCCACACGUAUCGCUUGCUCCCGAGGAUGCGUAGGCCUCGCUGCCGGGCAGCCGCCGGAGUAAUCGACGGGAAGAUAUACGUAGUCGGAGGUUGCGCGAGGCGAUCUUCUACGACUUGGGUCGAAUCGUUCGAUGUAAAUUUCUGAGACUUGGAGUACAUUCGUCUCACAUCGGAUUUAGAAGCGAUUGGAGAGGAGAGUUUGUGACAUGUGCGGUGAUGGAGGAGAAGAUUUACAUGCUGGAUCCUGAUCGUUGUUUGAUUUACAAUCCCAGGGGAGGUGUUUGGGAAACUAGAGUUGAAGAAUUGAAGCGUUUGUGGAAAGCAUCGUCUUGUGUGGUUGAUGAUAGGUUGUAUUCGAUCGAUCCUGCGUGUAGUCCUGGAAGUCCAUUGGUCGUAUAUGAUCCAAAGGAGAGGACUUGGAGACCUGUGAGAGGUGUGUAUGGUUUGCCUAAUAGUAUUAAUAUCUCUGAUCAUGACUGUAAAAUGGCAAAUCUUGGUGGGAAGCUGGUGGUUUUGGCUAGUAAGAGCCCGUUCUUUAGGUCUGAUCAUCACGGCGUAGAAGAGAUUUGGUGCGUAGAGAUCAAUUUGAAAAGACGUCAAGGUGGUGAGAUUUGGGGGAAUGUGGAAUCAAUCAAUCGUGUGCUUACAUCAAUCGAGUCGCCUUACAUUGAGCAUUGUCGAACUGUUCCUUUGAUGAUGCUUGGGAUUGGUGUUCUUGCAGGUAUGUAUGUUUAUGUGAUAAAGUUAUGGCAUUUUCGUUACCCUCUCAAAGGCUUUACUUAUAGGACAUUCAUGAACUUGCAGGUGAAUCAAAGUGACUCAGAAGCUGUAUCUGACACCUCAAGAGUAACUCUUACUUCUUUACCUCUCUGCACAGUGUAUAUACUCUUUACAGAAUUAGCCUUGAGUAGAUUUCUUGAGCUGUAUAGAAGGUGGGCUAUUCCUUUAGCUGCCUUUAUACAAUAGUUCUUACGAAAUUUGUUGUUGAAUUGCAUCUCUGCACAGUGUUGAUGAUACAUGAUACUCUUACAGAAUUAGCCUUGAGUAGAUUUCUUGUAGCUGCCUUUAUAGAAAAAUUCUUAUGACAUUUGUUGUUGAAAUACAUCUUUAGUUAGCUAUGUUUUGGGGGUUUUGUGCCAGUGCACUAAACCACUAACAUAGUCUCAUGUUUUCUCUAUCAUUUUGCUAUCUUUUUUUUGUAUGUUCUGCAAGUCAAAUUCAAGAUAUAGCAGAAAUUAAACCUGCUUCUACUAGAAGAGCAAUAUGAAAUCCUUGGUUGAGAUAAGAAGCAUAACAAAUUAAUUUAGCUAACCGGUGGUUUUGACUUUAUGGGUAACUACAAUAUCAAAUUGAGGAAAUACAAAGACCUGAACUUAUCUACAUAGAAUGUGCAAUGUGAAGAGAAUAUUACCUUUAUGGGUAACAAAACCCAAUUUACUUAAACCAUAUGAGAAAUAUGAAAUUUUGGUUUAGAGAUGAAGCAAAACGAACGGUUUAGCUAUAACUUAUAGAUAACUACAAGUUGACAAUAUACAAAGACUAGUCAAAACACAACCAUCCAAAACUUUUAAAUUUAACAUUUGUUGACACCAUUCGAAGGAAAUAUAUAAGUCAAAUAAGGGUUUCUAAAUAGAAAACAGAGAGACUUGUGACUUGUGUGUAACGUUAAGAAAACGUUUGGUUGCUAGAGUUAUAGUAGAUUUCCUGUUCUUCUGAAUUUAACAAGACCCAUUGUGCUUCUACUAUGUGAAAUCUUGGUUCAGUUAUGUGAAGAUGUUACGUGAGCAAAACAAACCAAGUUGCAACUCAAAAUGUAGUUAACUGUAUGCUGAUUUUACAAGAAGAGUUUCAAAUAAUACUUUUGCCAAGAAAUGAAGAAAUGCCAUUUUUUUGGGUUAUGAUAAGAAAAUGGAAACAAGUAAAAUUGCUUAUAUAUCGUGGUAUAUUUUUUCUUGUUAUAGUUUUGAUUUGCUUAAUUUUGGUUGCAAAUUGAAGAAUUUUAAAUGUAAUAGUAAUCUUUUUACAAAGGAAGAAACCACAAUUUAGAAUUAAGUUAGAUUUUGUCACGUGAGUGUCCAAUCAGGUUUUUAAAACUACUAUUUUAUCUCUCGGUGUAUGCAAUUCAAUGACUAUUUGAAGUUUUAUUUGGUAAAUUAGGUCUAUUUUUUUGCCGCCAUCUUUAUUUUUUUUUGCCGUCAUUUUUUAGUCAAUAAUUAAAAACAAAACAGAACAAUUAAUGACUGAAGCGUAUAUCUAUCUACUACUAAUCAGUCAUCAGUAAGUAGACACAAGACAAGAAAAUCGAAUUAGGCCAUCAUAAUCUCUGAAACUACCGACGACUGACGGCGAUGGUUGUAAUCUCCGAGAUUACCGACGAUUCUAACGGCGGCGAUCCAAACAAGAAACAAGAAGAAGCGAAUCAAAGGAAGAAACCCAGAACUGUAAAGAAUCGCUUCGCCGAGAUUCCAGACGGAAUCACCGAAAUCAUCGUCGCAUUCGUCCGGAGAUGUCAGUACCCGACGCUCUCAAUCGCAUCCCCUACCUUUAGAAAUCUCAUCUCCUCGCUCGCGCCUCGGCGUCGCCGAAUGCUUUCUUUACGCCUCCGUCGGAUUCGCCUGGCCCGAUUUCCCGAUCUGGUACAUUCUCUAUCGAGGAAGAGAUGCUUCUCUACGACUGGGCAGAGUCGAUUCGCUUCCUCUCAUGCCUAAUUGCUUAGUAGACUUCGUCGUCACAAUCGGACCGGAGAUGUAUGUAAUCGGCGGAUCAUUCAGCGACGGAGAUCCCUCGACGGAUGUGACUCUCAUCGAUUGCAGAUUCCACACGAGUCGCUCGCUCCAGAGUAUGCAAGUGGCUCGCUUCGCCGCAGCCGCCGGAGUUAUCGACGGAAAGAUUUAUGUGGUCGGAGGUUGCGCGAAGCGAUCUUCUACGACUUGGGUCGAAGCGUUUGAUCCAAAGAUUUAUGUUGUUAGCUUUACGUCUGUAAUGGCGAAUUUCGGUGGAAAGCUGGUGGUUUUGAGCGCUCAUGUGCCUUCUUCUAGUAGAAAGCGUGCCGGGAAGAAGGAGAUUUGGUGCGUGGAGAGAAGGGAAGGAGGUGAGAUUUGGGGGAACGUUGAAUCAGCCAAGGUUGUUCAUAAAGUCUCCAACUUGGAAUCUGUUGAGAUUUGUCGAUCUGUGACCUUUUGAUGAUACUUGGGACGGUUUCUUGCAGGUAUGUAUGUUUCUGUGAUUGAUUACUGGCUUUUGAAUGAUGGAUUAUUCUCAUGUUUAGACAUUUUCUCUAGUUAAUUCUCUCGAGGGUUUACUUAUAGACAUUCAUGAACUUGCAAUUGCAGGUGGAGGGUUAUUGUUACAUCUAUGUAUAUUUUUGAGCAGCUUGUUGGUCUUAUAGCAAAUUUUGAAGCAGAGUAGCUUAGAGGCUGUUAUCUGACGCCUUAAAGAGUAACUCUUCCUUCUCAACAUUUAUUUUUCACAAUGUGUAGUACCAGUUUAUAAAUACCUUAGCCUUGAGAAGGUACCUUAGCCUUGAUGUAGAUUUCUUAAUGAAUAGUAGCAGUUUAUAAAUACCUUAGCCUUGAUGUAGAUUUCUUAAGCUGUAUAAAAAGGUUAGGCAAUUCUUUUAGCUGCCUCGAUAAUACAAUAUUCUUAAAGAAACUAGUUGAAACUUGAAAGGCAUUUUUAGUUAGCUAUGUUUUGGGUUUUUGUGCAGUUGCACUGAGAUGGUCUCACUAUAUAGCAAGUUUGAAAUCCGUUUGCUUUAAAAAAAACAUGGUUCUAUGCAAGUGAUCACAAUUAAACAUGAGAGAACCCAAUGUGCUUCUACGACACAAGAUGUCAAUAACAUGGUCAUUGCUUUUGGAAUCAGGGAAAAGAUUAACCAACUAGUAUUUUAACCGGUUGUUGUGAUAUUAAAGGCCAUUACAAAGACCAAGAAGCUUUAGGCGAUUAUUCUACACAACCCCUUUUAUUUGAUAUAUCGAAAUCCUCUCUAGUUUUCUUGGAGACAAUCUCAAACCACGAUUAUUUCUGUGAGACUCUUCCACAUGGAUGUAGCUACCAUCAAUCUCAAUGCCUUCCAUCAUCAAAACAGCAUAUGCAUAUCUCAUCGAUUCCUCCUCCUUGAAAGUAACAAAACCAUGUCCUAUCAUUGUGCUGAAUGCUAAGAUAAAGAAAAAAAAAUACAUGGUCACUGUUCCAAGUUCUGGCAAUUGCUUUAAUAAAUAAUAUAGAGAUAUUGGUUCAGAGAUGUGAAGAUGGAACUAGGAGCAAAACAAACCGGUCUACUAUAACCAGUUGUUAUAUAAUCUUAUAUUCUUAUGGAUUCCGCUUUUGAACUUCAGUAUGCUUUUUCUCUAUCACCAUUUGUCAUUCCACGAGAAAACUCUGAACGGAAUCGCAUGAAAACGUAGAAAUCUGAUCAUGAAGAUUGGAAUCAAUAGUUCCCGUGGAACGUCGUGAGGUGAUGACGAAAACGAGAUAAUAUGGGAGAGUUUGAAAAGAUGACAUAAUAACUGAAUCCCACAUCGGUAAUUAUCAAAGAUUUACUUUAAUAUAUAAAACUGUAAAUCAGUUAGUUAGAUCGUCAAUUGGGGGGAGAUAGGAGCUUAUGAUUUAUAUUCGUGGAGAUGGUUCCAAAAAAAUUUAACAUUAAGGCGCCAUUUCUAUUGGAUGAAUAUGAGCCAACCUAUUCUUACCAAUUGACCUUUUUUAAUUAUUUUCGUAUAUAAAACUAAAUUGUUACUAAUUUUUUCUCCACACCAUUAUUACUAAGACAAUUCUACAUAACUUUUAUUUUAUCUUAUGAAAUACGCUUAUAAUUCAGCAGAUUUUUGUUUGCGUGGCCAUGUGAGGAUUGACUUUUGUAGCAUCAUAUCUUCAUAUGACAAGGUUUAAAGGUUUUACAACGCAAUUGAGGUUUGAUUUGUACAUGAAAGCAAAAACCUUAAAUAGUGUCAACAACAGAUGUCAUAAUCAUGAGGCUGAUUCGAGAAUUCAUCAAGGGCAGAGAAUGAAUUUGACAGCUCAAUCUGAUAAGGUUGUUUUGCAUUUGCCGUACGGCUUUUGUUAUGUGACAGAACCGUUGGAGAAGACAGUGUCUCAUCUGGAGGCUUAGCCUUAAUAUCUUCCACAUGGAUGGAGCAACCAUCGAUCUCAUCACCGUUCAUUAGCAUUAUGGCAUCUCUUAUAGAUUUCUCGUCCUCGAAAGUAAUAAAUUCAUAUCCCCUCGAUAUUCCAGUCUCAUGGUCGUUGAUGAUCUGUAAAGACAAAUAUAAACGAUAUAGAUUAAACAGUAAGAAAGAAUCCAACAAACACAAGUUACUAGUAAAACGCGAAUGACACGAUAUCAAGGCGUAACGAACUUUAGAAUCGAUAACGUUGCCAAACUUUGAAAAGGCUCUCUUAAGAUCAUUUUCAUCAGCCUCCAUGUCAAGACCGCGAACAAAGCACUUGAAUACACCAAAUGUUGAUGCCAUUUAAAUGAGAUAUAUGAAGAGAAGAGUGAAAAAUAACUUAGGGUUAUAUAAAGAACAAAGAAACUUGAGAGACGUUUGAAUUAAUGUAUUGAGAUUUGAGAGCUAGGUUUUAAUUUUUUUUUUUUGUCCAACAGUUAGGUUUAACUUUUUAAGUUACAUGAUUUUAACUUCUUUUUUGUCAUGCAUGUCAUAAAUGCUAUUCAGUCUUUCCAAAUUUUAGAAGUCAGUAUAUACAUUUUGGAACUAGCGAAAAUUGUCAAAGUCCAAAAGAAGACUUUUGUUAUUUAGAGUUUCAAAAAAAAAAAAUUAAUAUGCAACUAAUAAGUAAACAUUUUCUCGAUAUAUUUUCAGCAGUAGUUUUGAAUUUCUGUAAAUGAGUAAAAACUACAACACAUUCUUUUGGUUGCCUCAUUGAAAUGCAUCUUUAGUUAGAUAUACUUUGGGUUUUUGUGCAGUUGCACUAACAUGGUCUCACAAUUACAAGUUCUUUUAGUUUGAAUGUAUAUAUAUAAUUCCUCUGGAAGUAAUCCAUACUAUAACAAAAAUCAACCUGGUUCUACUAUAUAUAUAUAUAUAUAUAUAUGAGCAAUAUAACCAAAACAAACCAAGCAGUUUAUAAAACUGGGAGUAAUUUAAUUGACCGUAUAGUAUGUGUACUAUUGAUGAUGAUGAAUUAUAAUGUUGACACAAUAUUUGCUCAAGCCACAGGAGCUC